AGGGAACCAGCCCCUAGGUGGGCUGGUGCGCCCCCCACCCAGCCCAUGCGCACCAGAGAAAGGGGGAAGGGGGAAACCCUAGGCGCAGUUGAGGCCCAAGGCCCACCUAGGGUGCGCCCCCCCUUUCCCUUCCCUGGCCGCCGCCCCCCUCCCAUCUGGUGGCUGCCGCACCACCUAGGGGGGGAACCCUAGGGGUGGCGCACCCCCUCCCCCUCCUCCUAUAAAUAUAGAGGGGUUUUGGCCAUUGGAGAACACACUUUGCCCUCUCUCUCGGCGCAGCCCUGCUCUUCUUCCUCCUCCUCUCCGCCGGUGCUUGGCGAAGCCCUGCCGGGAGACCUCGUCUCUCCAUCGACACAACGCCGUCGUGUUGCUGGAGUUCUUCCCCAACCUCUCCCUCCUCCUUGCCGGAUCAAGGCGCGGGAGACGUCACCGGGCUGCACGUGUGUUGAACGCGGAGGUGCCGUUGUUCGGCACUAGAUCAGAAUCGCUGCGAGUACGACUCCAUCAACCGCGUUCUAGCAACGCUUCUGCUUAGCGAUCUUCAAAGGUAUGAAGAUGCUCUUACCCCUCUCUCGUUGCUGGUCUCUUCAUAGGAAGAUCUGAAUAUGCGUAGGAAAAUUUUGAAUUUAUGCUACGUUACCCAACAAUAGGUGGUAGCGCGUGUGACUUGGGAGGAAACGGGGGACGGGAAAACGUUUGAUCACGUUGCAUCAUACGCUCUGCGUGCAAACGGCCAAAGUUUCAGCUCGUGUGCCGGAUAUAAGCGUUUUCCUUAGCAUAAUGCGUUGGAUAUGUUAUUGAGUCUCGAGGCCGUGUAUAUAUUGAAUACAAAAUUUGGAGGACAAGACGUCUCCUAGAGAUAACAUGGAAACAAUUUCUAUCUAAUCAAGGACAAUCUCUAAAUACGAAGGACGCCGAUAACCAUCACAUGUGUGGUGGGAGCAAUACCCGAUCACACGCCCAUGAUCACAGAUUGGACCAUGUCAUCGCAUGCAUGCACAAAUGACGAGAUUGAUGAUGUCUAUAUAAAUCUUUUGUCUUUUCAGUUUUUAAAUGUUUUAUUUCUUAAAUAAAAAAUCCGAUUGAAAAACCAUUUUCAUCAUUAAAUCCGUCGUCACGAGAUCUUCAAAACUAGAUUUCAUAUCGAUAUGUUUCGAUUAAUUUUUUGGUUAAAUUGUCAUGUCUAUUUCACAUAAAUUGUCAUCAUGAUUACAUUAAAGUUACCAUGAUAUAUUUCAACUACUUUUUCUUUUUUUAAAGUAAAUUUUCACAUGUUAUAAAAGAGGAAUUAAGAAACUGAACUUGGCAUGAUGAAUUACUAAAUGUUGCCAUGAUCCAUGAAAUAAUUUUGACAUGGUUUAUAAAUAAAAAAGAAAUAUAUCAUCAAUUACUUUAAAAAUGCAUGGUCAAUGGCUCAAAUUUGCAAUGGACCAUGAACUAACAUUAGUAAGAUUGCUCAGAUAAAAGUAAUGUAAAACCCCUUUUCAUGAAAAAUAUCUCAUAAAAAGAAUACUAACAUUUUUACAUACUAAAUAAACAUUCAAAGUUGUGCCUUAAAAAGUGUCCAUGUCUACAAGGUAGUGUAUUUCAAAACGCGAGUAUUUGAUUUUGUUGUGAACUAAUCUUGAAUUAUAAUCCACACAAAAGAACCUUUCAUCAAUGUCUGAAACAUGAUCAUAGUACAAGUAGUUAGUACACAAUCAUGGACACAGAUAGACCAUUAACUAGCAAAGAGCAAGUAAAAUGGCAAAGUGGCUAGCACAUAUAGACCAUUAACAUAUUCCCAAAGGGGGGGGGGGGGGGGGGAAACAACCUCUGUUUUUUUCCACAAUGGAAGAAUACCAGGAUAGCACAUGGAUACAUGUUCAGAGGGUUUCCAGUUUUUACUUGUGCAGUUCAAGCUGCAAUUAAAAAUUAAAAGUUCACUUGCUUCCAUUGCUAGUUUACAGAGCACAUGUACUAACAAAUUCACAGUUUACAGUGGAGACCAGGGAGAAGUGAGAAAAAAAAUCUGUAUAUAUGGAGCAUGUGGCAUGCCUUCGUGACGAAAACAAUCUAACUAGUGUAGCAUAGAUCUUCUCUUCUCCCUCGCAUAGAGGACAGGAAUGGGCAUAUCUAUUCUGUCAGCUUGAAAACAGGGGCGAAACAAAAAUGCUGGGAUUUUACAGUGAGAGCAAAAGUUUGAUCCAAACAUCAUGCCCUUCUCCGCUACUGAGUCCAAGGAAGGUUCCCAGAGUAUGGCACCAUGCCACAAUAGGAGAAUAGACCCUUCAAUUCAGGGCAGCCAUUGGGGUAAGGAAUGGUACGGUGAAACGGGUCUCUCUUGAGCCUCUUUACACGAAGAGAACCAACACAUCCAUAUGGAUCUUCUUGGAACUGAGACCUGACAGAGGCUUCACCUUUCAGAGCUGCCUCCUUUGCUGUAGCUGUAGCUGGGGUACCUGAGAAGAAGAACCUUUCUUCUGGGAACCCGAGAGCAGAUCUGUGCAGCUGCGCAAACCUUUCCUCCUUAAAAUCAUAGCUUACAACCUAAGCAACAAAAUGUUCAGAGUCGCAAAUUAACAAACUAUCAGACAUUGAAGAAUUAAUUGAAAGUACAGAAAAAAUGCAUUACCAACAAGUAAUAGGUGAAAUAAGGUUUCAGCAGAAAGCCUUGACAAAAGAUAAGAAAACUUACAGUUAUAUUCUGUGGGUAUGUUCCAGUGAGUUCUCUGAAACGGCAAACACUAAAUAGGAGAUUCUCAAAACUAUCUCGUGCAUGCUCCUCAGUGAGUGCCCGGCUCCUAACACUAUCAUCAUUUCCUGUGCAAGUACAUGCAAACAGUGAGAAACUUUUGCCAGAUGGUUGCCAAAAUAACUAACGAACUCGAAUUGGAUACAUAAACAGCGGUGGUAAUACUGUGUUCAGAUGAGAAAGUAAACAUGAUAAACUUCAGGAAGCAUCAAGCUCUUCAACCCUACAUUCUGACUAUCCAUGUUUCAGAGAUGGAUUUAUGAGCUGAACUAUAUGUUCGACACAAUUAGAGAACUCAUCAGCCAUUUUCCAAUGUCCUCUGCAAAAUACUAUGAAGCAGCUUCCUGUCAACCAUGUUUUCUACAGCCAUUUUAACCAUUUACUUCCACAACACUAGUAAUUUCUAAAUCAUGAUCAUGGAUCAACAUAUAUAUACAGAACCUAAAUCAAGCAUGGUGUUUUCUUUGCAUUUGCAUCAGAGCAACUGAGUUUGUAUGUAGCAGUCAGAACUCAGAAGUAAUUGUACAUCUAGGCCUUGUUGUUUUAAGUUCAUGAUGAUACGUAUGAUUAACAACCGCACAAAAUACCAAUCAGCACCACAUUUCCGAACCCCAUUGUGCCAACAAUAGUCUUACUAAAGCGCGAAAGAAGGAAUGUUCAUGUAACCUGAAACUCACCAAACCAGCCUUCCGACUCUGCGAUAGCCCAGUAGCUCUGCGCCUCGCUCCUCGGCCCUGCAUCUUUCCUCGUCUCCCCACCGCUAAACAAGAGGAGCGCGCCCUGAUCCCUCGCCGCGAUCUCCACCCCCUCCUUGAUGUGCGCCAAGAAGGUGGACGCCUGGCCGGGGUGCUUCUGGUACGGCUCCAAGAACCACGAAUCCUCGCGGUCGAUCUUCCCGCAGCUGGCGCUGGUGUAUAUCGAAUGGCCGGCCACCAUGACGAGGUUGCGGAGGCCCGGAAGCGGGUGCGCCCCGACCCCAUCGCCGCCGCUCCUCAUCGUUCUGAACCGGGUCUCGUACACGGACAGGAGGAUAAGAACGCUGAGCCCGAAUGACAGCAGGAUGAGGGCGACGGCGACGGGGUGCGCCUCGUAGAAGAAGCGAAUCUUCAUCAGCGCCGAGCUGAGGGGGGCAGGGGCGUCGAGAUGCGAGGCCUUGGGCUUGCGGCCCUUGCGGGGGAUCCCGGACUCGAGAUCGUAGUCGGCUCUAGGGUAGCGGAACGACUUGGGGCUCCCGGGGCCGAACCCCUGGCUGCUCAUCGAGCUCGCCGGAACUCCGCCCUCCCCCGGGGCGGGCGGAUCUAGGUGGUGAUGGAGUGGAGGAGAGGAUUUAGAGCGGCACUGGAUCGGCCGGGUUGGAGCUCGGGGAGGGUCAGAGCAUCAGAGCUGCCUUGGGAGAAGAAGGGAUCGGGGGAGAAAGAGACGGAGGUACCGUGCAGGAUGGUAGGGGAAAAAGUCUAGCCGUGGAAGAUUCGAUGAUUCAGAUAGUUCGCUGCCUCUUCGGAGAUGGAGGAUAGAUUUUAUUUUUUAUUUUCUUAGCACUGUCUUUUCAUAUAAAGAGAAUAAGGCUUAUGUAUAAGAGUGUUUUAGUUUUUUUAAAAGAAAUCGUACAAAAACCUCUAAAAAACCCACACGCUCACACUAAUCAACCAAUACCGCCACCUGUGCCCGGCCAAAGGCCAAAGUCCUUUGCUUGAUAUCGUGGAAGGCAAUAGCUGCUACCUCUAGGUACGUGAGGCGAGUUCUACUGAAGAUGCGUUGGUUUCGCUCCUUCCAGAUGUUUCAGAUGGUGUAAAGGAAGCGGCCGCUCAGCCUUCUUCUGUCGUCUUUGGGCAAAUUGGUGGUGAGCGAAUCCCACCAGUCUGAAAUCCCCAUCGAAGGGGGCAACGUGGGCGUGGCCCCAGAGUCCUCUCUCGUCCAUACCUAGACGUGAGACCAAACUGCGGCGGCAAACGGGCAGUCCUUGCAGAGAUGAAUGGCCGUCUCCGGUGCCCCAAGGCAAAGGGGACAACGAUGGUCGUGCGGCCAGCCACGAACGAAAAGCAUGUCGGCCGUGAGGAUUUUCCUGUGAAGCACAUGCCAGCCGAAGAAGUUGCAUUUUGGCUCCGCGUGUGCCUCCCAAAUAUUGGCUGGGAGAACCUCGGGUAGGAUACAGAGAACUGGACCGCGUAGGCCGAAGCUGCAGAGUAAAUGCCAUUGGGGGUCCACCGCCAAGUGAUGGCGUCCUCCUGGUCUGGGUUCAAAGCAACCUGAGUGAUAGCUAAUGCGAGGCAAUUAACUCAUGCAUGUGGGUAGGCAAUGAAAGACGGGCCACUGAUCUGAUCCAGUUUUCCUCUUGGAGCUCCUUCGUCACACUUCUCCGCUUCCUGGUGGCAAUUUUGUACAGCUCUGGGAAGGCCCGGGACAGAGGGCCCCGUCCUGUCUAGUCGUCGUGUAAGAAUAAGGAUUUUCUUCCAUUGCCCAAGGAGAUGGUGGUAGAAGCCCUGAAAAGUGCCAUGUUCGUCUCAUCGCAGGGCACCGCAGAGCCCACCCAUUGGCGGUCAGGAUUAUUCCACAUAAGCCAAGGCCAGCGAAGUCGCAGUGCCUGACCAAAUCUCUCGAGGUCUGUUAUUCCCAAGCCCCCCAUGGGCUUAGGCCGGCAGACAGUCUUCCAGUUCACCAGAGAGUGUCCGCCAGACGCGUUUUUUGAGUCUUCCCACACCAUAUGAAGUUACGAGUGAUCUUAUUGAGCUUCUAGAUUGCCUAAGUGGGAAGCGAGAGCGUGGUGAGGUGAUGAUUUGCGAUGGCGCACAACACGGACUUUGCAAGGAGGCCCUGCCCGGUCGUGCCAGGUUCUUCCCCUUCCAGCCCGGCAACCUGCCCAUUGCCUUGUCCAGAAGAGGUUGGAGGUCAACCCUUCUUAGCCGCCUGUCAUGUAGUGGAAUACCCACGUAUCGACGGGGAACGAGGCCAGCUUGGCCGAGAAGGCCGAGAGGAUGGCCGGGAGAGCAAUGUCCUGGCAGCGAAUGGGAAACAAAUCGAUCUUGCUGACAUUUGUGAUGAGGCCCGAUGCAUCCCCAAAACAGGCAAGGAUCUGAAUGAUGGCAUCGAUUUCUUUUUUGACUGGGUUAGCAAAGAUGCCAGCAUCGUCAGCAUAGAGAGAAACCCUGCAGGAGGCCAACCGCACCAUGAUGGGCUUGAGGAUCCCGGCUUGGGAAGCUGCCCGGAGCAUAAGUUGCAGAGGAUCGAUGGCCAGAAUGAAGAGCAUAGGCGACAACGAGUCACCCUGGCGAAGGCCUUUUCCAUGCGCGAAUGGGGUUCCUGGCUCCCCAUUUAACAGCACCCUAGAGGAAGAUGAAGCGAUGGUCAUGCAAAUUUGGUCCCGCCAGCGCUGUCCAAAUCCCAACUGUUGUAGCUGAAAGUGCAGUCAUGCCCUUAAUCGAGUUUUGGUGUUAAUGACAACACAUACAUAGGAAACUAAUCUUAUUUGUUGAGUGUAUCUCAGGAUGGCUUUUAAAGUACUCUUAGUAGAUCGGGAAUUAUGUGCCAAGGUGGCUUGAGAAGAUCGGGACUUAUAUGUCAAGAAGGCUCGGGAUUGAGAAACAAGAUGAUGUAGCCUAUCCUUUAAUUUACUAUUCUUGAGUAUAGUGAUCCCGCACUAUUAAGAGGGGAUCACGGGUUUUGCGAUGAACUUGCUCAAACUACAUCUCUACUUCUCUGCUCAUNGGGAAUUAUGUGCCAAGGUGGCUUGAGAAGAUCGGGACUUAUAUGUCAAGAAGGCUCGGGAUUGAGAAACAAGAUGAUGUAGCCUAUCCUUUAAUUUACUAUUCUUGAGUAUAGAGAUCGCGCACUAUUAAGAGGGGAUCACGGGUUUUGCGAUGAACUUGCUCAAACUACAUCUCUACUUCUCUGCUCAUGCCAUUUCUCCUUUACUCUUGUUUGAUUCCAAAACAUAACCAAAGCCUCGGACAUCCGGCUCCCUCCGGACGUCCGAGGGCCGGACGCCCGACCACUUCGGAAAACCGGAGCCUUAUACCAGAGUCAAAAUCUCAGACAUCCGGCUUCCUCCGGGCAUCCGAGGGCCGGACGCCCGACCACUUCGGAAAACCGGAGCCCUAUACCAGAGUCAAAAACCUCGGACUUCCGGCUUCCUCCGGUCGUUCGAGGGCCGUACGUUUGACCUCUUUCGGAAAUCCGUUGCCCUUGAACAGAGCUGAACUCUCGGACAUCCGACCAUCUCUUCGGACGUCCGGUCCCUGUUCGACUACACAGUGGCCAAAUGAUAUGAACACUCCUUCGGUCGUCCGACGCCUGUCAGACGUCCGGAAAACGUCGAACGUCCGACCACUGUCAGACUUAAGUGACCCCAACGGUUACUUUAGUCUCCCCACUAUAUAUACCCCCCUCCCACUUUGUGAGAGGGGGUCCAACACAGCAAGAACACUUACAAGAACACUUUCUUCCUCACUCACUCUUGCCUACACCCAAACUUAGAUCCCAAAAGCAUUUGUGAGCCCGUUUGAGUGUUGUUCCAAUCAAAAGAUAGAUCGUCUCCUUCUCCUCCUCUCCACCAAAGCGAUUUGUGAUUUGAGCAAGUUUUGAGCAAUCCCCGUGAUCUUGUUACUCUUGGAGGUUGGAGACUCCUAGUCAGUAGGAGUCUUCGGAGAGGAAUCAAACCUUUGUGAUUACCCCUCGAAAAGUUUGUGAGGGUUUGGAAGCCACCUCAAGGCUUUCCACUAGUGGUUGAGAAACGCCUUUGUGUUGUUGUCUCAAAGGGAGAAUAGGGUUAGCCUUCGUGGCGUUGGUGUGCCUUCGUGGUAACAUCCGCCCCUCUAACGGUGACGUAGCUUCCCUCCAAGGAAGUGAACACCGGGAUACAUCCUCGUCUCUCUUGGAGUUUUGGUUAUCCCUAACCCUAACUCUCUACUUGUGUUAAUCCUUAUUACGUACUUGCAUUUGAUUAUAGUUUACCGGUUGCCUUACUUUACUCUAAAUAGCUUACUCUUUGUCUUUGCAAUUAUUAGGCUCACUCUCAUAUUUCGCACCAUUGCCUAAAAUUGCUAAGUAACUAUUAAAAUUUGGAACUGUACCUAUUCACCCCCUGAUGGGGUCAUAGUCCCAGGGUAGGGUCAUAGGCCUGCCCUAUAGGUCCUACCCAAGGACUACCCUUCUUAAGGGACAAGGCCCUUAGUCAGUUCCGUCUGAAUUAAGAACUUCCCAUCAUCCAGUCCGUAAUGAUUCCCCCCAUCAUCCAGUCGGAGAUGAGCAUUCGGAGCGUAUUAAACUGCCGACUGGAUUCCACUCUAUAUAUCAUAACCUCCCUGGAGGGCAACGGUUGUACGUUUUCAUACACCAUUAUUAGCAUUUAAGGCAUACGUUACCUGUAACGUAGGCAUUUAUUCGCCACUACUCUACCCCUGUGCACCGGACCGUUGUGAAAGGCAGCGUACUCUAUAUAAGCCGCCCCUCCCCACUGGUGCAGGGGUUAGCAUUUCACUAUACCCCAUAUUUCACUCGACAUUAAGCUCCCAAGAGCACUGAGACGUAGGGCUUUUACCUCCACCGUAGAGGGGCUGAACUCAUACAACCUCGCCGUAGCUAAGGCUCUGCCCAUCCUUUCGUACCCUACACAUCUACUGUCAGACUUAUACCCACGACAGUUGGCGCCCACUAUGGGGCAGGCGUCUAAGCGACUUCUGGCGAGUUUGCGACUACAUCUUUUCAUCAUGUCGUCUGGUGGAGAUUUGUGCAUGGGUCAUGAGAUCCUCUUCGGCGCACUCUCCUUCAUCGUCGAUGAUUCGGCAUGGCUACGGGAUGCACCUCCCGACGUCGAGGUGCUCCCCAAUCGCGGGGCUACGCACUUCCGUGCCGGCGCCCGCGGCAUCCUUCUUCUCCAGCAGUCGGCACCGGUGUCGAUCUUCGCCCCCGUCACGCGCCGCAACAAGCGGUCUUGCCGUCCGCGGCUCCAGCGUUGGGUGCGACACGCCCAGGCGCGCUAGAACGCGUCCUCUCAAGUGGCGGUCCUCGAGUCGGUUGUGGUUGCGCCGUCGUCCCAGCGCUCGGACUCAGUUCCGACUGAGUUGCCUUCCCAGUACUUGGGUCGCGGGCCUACAGCCGAAGUUCACAUGGCCAAUUCCCAUGAAAGUCCCCGCCAAACUAGUCGGAACGAGCACGAGGUCGGCGAGUCAUCCGGCGCUCGCCGUCCGCCCCGCCGUUCUGCCAGUCGACGUACUCGUCAGAGCAACGUGGAGGUGUUCCGCACACCCGUCCUCAACCUGGCUGCCGCCGCCAAGAUAGCCGAUUCCCUCCAGCCGACUGAUUCAGAGGCUGGCAGAGGGAUCAAGCAGAUCCGUGCCCUGCUGCACACGGCGCAGCAGCAGAAUUCGGCGGUCUCCCAGUCGCACAACAGGAUCCAAAACAGUUAUGUUCAUGCGAUCACGCAUCGGCCAGUUUUCAGGCCCGAUUCUCAUCAGCGACACACAGGAGGCAGCCGUUCCAUGAAUCACGAAGAUCGUCGCCGUUCACGCACCCCUCCACGGGGUGGGCCCUACGGGCCCUGACAUCAUGAUGAUCGGCGUUCGGUCGGUGACACUUAUGAUCCAAGUCCCGACACAAGAGGGUACAUCGCCCAGAGGAAGGUCGACAGGAGCCGAGCCCACCGUGAUGGUCACGAUAGAGACCGUCCGAGUGGAAGUAGGACCAUCGUCUCUGGCCCCGAGUGUUUCAGUCGGGCCAUCCGUUCGGCUGACAUCCCUCCCAACUUCCGAUUGGCGACAGGAAUCAGCAAGUUUACAGGAGAAUCCAAGCCAGAAACGUGGUUGGACGACUACCGAGUGGCGUUCCAGAUCGGUGGUGGAGAUGACCAGGUCGCCAUGAAACACCUCCCCCUGAUGCUCGAUGGUUCGGCUCGAGCAUGGUUGAACCAGUUGGCUCCUUCAAGCAUCUACAGCUAGGCAGAUCUGGCCCGAGUCUUCAUCAGGACCUUUGAGGGCACGUGCAAAUGCCCUGCUGGUCUCGUGAAGCUCCAGCACUGCGUCCAGAAGCAGAAUGAGCCCCUGCGCGAUUUCAUCCAGCGUUGGGCAACCCUCUACCACACGAUGGAGAACGUCACAGAGCACCAAGCAGUCUGCGCCUUCAAGGCAGGCGUGCGGUACAGAGAUCUGUACCUGAAGUUCGGUCGGACAGGCGACAUCUCCAUGAGCAAGAUGAUGGAGAUAGCGGCACGCUAUGCAAAUGGCGAAGCAGAGAACCGCAUUCGUAGCGGCAAGCAUAAAGCAGUCGCCGAUGGAGAUGGGAACAACACUCAGAAGCAGAAGCAGAAAGCUCCGUCCACUCCGCAGGCAGAUGCUGCAGCCAUUACCAAUGCCAAGUUCAAGGGCAAGGGGAAGGCUCAGUCCACCCCCAAGAAGAAGCAGUUCGAAAACCACAUCCUGGAUCAGCCAUGUCCAAUCCACACGAAGAUGGACAAAGAAGGCAACGCCAUAUUCCCGAAGCAUACCACUCGGCAAUGUCGCCUCCUGAUCCAAGGGUUCGGCGAAGGGCAGCCGAGUGAAAAGGACAAUGAACAGGAUGGUGAGGACAAGGAGGAUCAGUUCCCCCAAGUCCAUGCAACACUGAUUAUUUUUGCUGACGUGGAAAGCAAGAGUCGACUGAAGCUGGUGAACAGGGAGGUGAACAUGGCCACCCCAACCAACCCCACGUUCCUCAAAUGGUCUCAGACUGCGAUCACCUUUGACCAGUCGGAUCAUCCAGCACACGUGCCCAACCCAGGGAGCCAGGCUCUGGUCGUCGACCCCGUGGUGGAAGGAGUUCGACUGCGCAAAGUCCUCAUGGACGGCGGCAGCGGCUUGAACAUCAUGUAUGCCGACACUCUCAAAGGGAUGGGCAUUCCGAUGUCCAAACUUAGCGAGAGCAGCAUGCAGUUCCACAGAGUCGUCCCUGGACGAAAGGCCAAGUCACUCGGCCAGAUCGCGUUGGACGUCGUUUUCGGCUUCGACAAGAACUUCCGCAAGGAAAAGCUGACAUUCGAGGUGGUGGACUUCCAGAGUGUAUACCACGCGAUUCUGGGCCGUCCGGCGUAUGCGCGUUUCAUGGCCCGUCCAUGUUACGUGUACCUGAAGCUGAAGAUGCCAGGUCCCAAAGGUGUGAUCACUAUCACAGGCAAUCGGCAGCGGGCCGAGGAGUGUGUGCAGCAGGGGUUGAGGAUCGCCGAUCAGCAAAUGGCCAUCCUCGAGCUGGACGAGUACAAGAAGACAGUCGACCCCGCUGACUUGAUGCGUUCGAAGAAGCCAACUUCGGAGUCCGCAUUCCAGUCGGCGGGAGACACGAAGAAGGUCAGCAUCCCCCCGACAGACGACGCCGCUGCCCCGACGAACAUCUCCACCACCCUUGAUCCAAAAUAGGAAGCCGAGCUCAUCCAAUUCCUCCGUGAGAACUGGGACAUUUUCGCAUGUAAGCCCGCUGACAUGCCAGGUGUACCCAGGGAGUUAGCUGAGCACCGAUUGCAUGUGGAUCCUGCUGCUCGGCCUGUCCGAGAACGCCUGCGUCGGUCCGCCGCGCGCAAGAGGAAGGCAAUCGGAGAGGAAGUGGCUAAACUUUUGGAAGCCAACUUCAUUCGCGAGGUACACCACUCCGAGUGGCUCGCCAAUGUUGUCAUGGUGCCCAAGAAGGACAAGUCUCUCCGAAUGUGCAUCGACUUCAAGCAUCUGAAUAAGGUCUGCCCGAAAGACCAUUUCCCGCUCCCCCUCAUCGAUCAAAUUGUCGAUUCGACUGCGGGUUGCGAGCAUUUGUCAUUCCUUGAUGCCUACUCGGGCUAUCAUCAGAUCCGUCUGUAUGGCCCCGAUGAAUUAAAAACAGCCUUCAUCACCCCAUUCGGGUGCUUCUGCUACAUCACUAUGCCAUUCGGUUUGAAGAAUGCAGGAGCAACUUUUAUGCGCAUGAUCCAAAAAUGUCUCCUUGACCAGAUCGGUCGGAAUGUGGAAGCGUAUAUGGAUGAUAUCGUAGUCAAGUCACGCAAAGGUUCCGGCCUGCUGACUGACUUGGCAGAAACAUUCGCUAACCUUCGUAGGUACGAUAUCAAGCUCAACCCUGCCAAGUGUUCAUUCGGUGUUCCCAGCAGAAAGUUACUCGGUUUCUUUGUUUCCGAACGAGGGAUCGAUGUCAACCCCGAAAAGAUCGGGACCAUCGUCCGAAUGGAGCGGCCGGUCAGAAUACACAAUGUUCAAAGGCUCACAGGUUGCCUAGCGGCUUUGAGCAGGUUUAUCAGUCGACUCGGCGAGAAAGCGCUACCUCUGUACCGACUCAUGAAGAAAUCAGAUACUUUAGAGUGGACAGACGAAGCCCAAAUUGCAUUCGACGACCUCAAAGCCCUGCUUUCCACCCAGCCGGUUCUUACUACUCCGCUCAGUAAAGAACCCCUUCUUCUGUACAUCGCGGCUACAAAUCAAGUCGUCAGCACUGUUCUCACAGUCGAACGCGAAGAAGAAGGCAAGGCAUACAAGGUUCAGCGGCCAGUGUACUAUGUCUCCGAAGUCCUGACUCCUUCCAAGCAGAGGUAUCCCCAUUAUCAAAAGCUUAUUUACGGGAUUUACAUGACUGCAAAGAAGGUGGCUCAUUAUUUCCAAGACCAUUCGGUGACCGUCGUUUCUGAUGCUCCGUUGUCGGAAAUCCUCCACAAUCGGGACGCAUCAGGCCGAGUGGCGAAGUGGGCAAUGGAGAUGUUAUACUGCGACAUCAAGUUCGAGGCCAAGAAAGCUAUAAAGUCUCAAGCUCUGGCUGACUUCAUAGCAGAAUGGGUAGAACAACAGCAACCGACCCACAUCUACUCGGCUCAUUGGACAAUGUUCUUCGAUGGGUCCAAGAUGUUGAAUGGCUCCGGCGCUGGCGUUGUGAUCAUAUCGCCAAAAGGUGACAAACUCAAGUAUGUGUUGCAGAUACAUUUCGAUUCCUCCAACAACGAGGCAGAGUAUGAAGCUCUCCUUUAUGGAUUGUGCAUGGCCAUCACACUCGGCGUCCGUCGCCUGAUGGUCUAUGGAGAUUCAUAUUUGGUGGUUGAUCAAGUGAUGAAGGAGUGGGACGUAAGGAACCCCACCAUGACUACAUACUGCAACGCAGUGAGGAAGCUCGAGAAAAAGUUUGAAGGUCUGGAACUGCACCAUGUUCCGCGACUGAAAAACCAAGCAGCUGAUGAGUUGGCGAAACUUGGAUCCACUCGGAGACCAGUCCCGAGUGAUGUCUGCCUCGAGCACCUACACCUUCCCUAAGUUAAAGAAGAUCCCUUCACAGAGGAACCAGUACAACCAAAGAGCUCGACAGAUCCGACUGAAGUCGAGGUCCCCGCUGUGGUUGAUCUGAUCAUGGAGAUUCUUGCUAUCAUCCCCGAUUGGACUAUGUCGUUCAUUGCGUACAUCCUAAGGCGAGAAUUACCAGAAGAUGAGGUCCAAGCCAGACAGAUCGUCUGCAGGUCGAAGUCGUUCACCGUCAUUGAUGGCCAGUUGUACAAAGAAAGUGUUUCAGGCGUCCUUCAAUGAUGCAUCUCCCCUGAGGAGGGGCAGUUAAUCCUGGAAGAAAUUCAUUCGGGAACCUGCGGUCAUCAUGCCUCCUCAAGAGCAAUCGUCGCCAAAGCAUUCAGAGUUGGUUUCUUCUGGUUGCAGGCGAAUGAAAUGGCGAAGGAUAUGGUCGACCGAUGCGAAGGCUGUCAGUUCUACUCCAUGGUUAAACUCUUUCAGUCUAGUUUCUACCUCAUCUGAUGAGUACCUUGAUGCGGAGGAUCACUAUGAGGACAAUGACUUAGAUCAUCCUAUGUUUGCCAAAAUAAACAAAUUUGUGUGCUCUCUUAAAGGAAAGAAGCUCACUAUGUUUCGCAUACUUAUGGAAAUGGUGAGUAAGCACACCAAUACCAUCAAGGAACUCGAAACCCUCGUCACUGAGUAGAAGGAAAGGAAUGAAAUCCUUGAGCAGAAAGUCUUGUAUGAGGAAGCACAAAAUGAUGCAUUAUGCUCAAAAGUUGGUGAAAACCUUGAUAAACAUGCUAACGAUCUUGCCUCCUUGAAAAAGGCUGAAUCUGUGUGCAAAGAGUUAUUAAAUGAUAAAAACAGACUUGUGAAUUCUCAUGCUUCUCUUUCUAAGGCCUGUGAGCACCUAUCCUUGUCUCUCAAGGACAAGGAAGAGAAACUCACUGUUCUUACAAAGAGCUUUGAGGCACUCAAGGUUACUUACCUUGACACUCUAGCUAAGGCUUACUCCUCACCUAUUAUUAAUGUUGAUACCUGCACUGCUAACUCUAGUAGUGAACUGGCAUCUAUUCUUGAGGAAAACUGUUCGCUAAAGGCACAGCUAGAUAGAGGUCUCAUGACAUGUGCACAAGGACAAAAGACUCUCAAUGAGAUCUGAAGUCAACGCAAUGAGGUCUUUGCCAAGGAAGGGCUUGGGUUUAAUCCAAGCAUCGCCAAGAAAAGUGUAUCUCCUCUCAAGUGCACCACCCCGCUAACAUUUGUACGAGAGGGACACAAGGAGAAAGGUAAGGUUGUGAGUGGGUCGGCCACUAGGGGUUUGCCCACUCUCAACAGGACAACAGAGUUCAUGCCUCCAUCCUAUGUACUUCGCAAAUCAAAGGAAAGAGAGGUUUAUGCUAAAUUCGUUGGUCCCUGUAAUGCAUUCCGGUUUUAUGCUAUUUGGGUCCCUAAGACUCUUGUAACUAAUGUGAGAGGCCCCAUGACGAAAUGGGCACCUCAAACCAAGUCUUAAUUCGUGUACAUGAUGUUUUCUCCGGAGGAGUCAAAUGGGUGAUCGACAGUGGAUGCACCAAUCAUAUGACCAGAGAUAGUAACUUGCCCUAUGACUUCAUGCAAGCCAUUCCACCAUACAUGAGCAUUAUAUUCGGAGGAGGGUCGAAAGGACAGGUAAUUGGGUUGGGCAAGGUGGCAAUCACUAAUGACAUGUCUCUUGCAAAUGUCAUGCUUGUCCAAUCUCUUCAAUAUCAUUUGCUUUCAGUUUGCCAAUUGGCUUCCCUUGGUUAUGACACACUAUUUGGACUAACGGAUGUGAAAGUCUUUAAGAGAUACACUCUCGAAGUGGCCGUUGUUGGAGAGUUGGAUGGCAACCUUUACACGGUUGAUUUCUCGAAAGAGAGCACUUUCCAUACAACUUGUCUGAUGGCCAAGGCUGACAUGGGAUGGCUAUGGCAUCGCCGGCUCGCCCAUGUCGGCAUGGGAAAUCUUCAAAGUCUCUUAAAAGGCAAUCAAAUCCUUGGACUAACCAAUGUGUCUUUUAAGAAAGAUCGUGUGUCCAGUGCAUGCAUAGCUGGGAAGCAACAUCAAUCAAAACACCCACCCAAGAAUAUUGUAUCCACCUCAAGGCCUUUAGAGCUCCUUCAUGUGGAUCUGGUUGGGCCUCCUUCAUGGGAUAGUCUUGGUGGGAAAAAGUAUGGACUAGUCAUUGUUGAUGAUUACUCAAGAUACACAUGGGUAUUCUUUCUCAAGUCCAAGGAUGAGACGAAGAUCACCUUCAUUGAUUUUGCCAAACAAGUCCAGCGCAAGUUUGACAAGGCCAUCAAGGCAAUAAGAAGUGAUAAUGGCUCCGAGUUCAAGAAUUACACUCUAGAAGAAUUUCUUAGUGAUGAGGGAAUUGAACAUCAGUACUCUGCACCUUACACCCCUCAGCAAAAUGGUGUAGCAGAGAGGAAGAAUCUGACACUUGUGGAAAUGGCAAGGUCCAUGUUAGACGAAUACAAGUCACCGCAUAGUUUUUGGGCUGAGGUUGUCAACACAGCAUGUCAUGCAUCAAACCGGCUUUUCCUUCGACCAAUAUUGGAAAAUACUCCAUAUGAGCUCCUAACCGGGAACAAGCCCAAUGCCAAGUACUUUCGUGUAUUUGGAUGCAAGUGUUUCAUCCUCAACAAACGGGACCGGUUAGGAAAAUUUCAAUCCAAAACACCUGAAGGGAUUUUUGUUGGCUAUGGAUCAAACUCUCACGCCUACAGAGUCUACAACAAAUCCAAUGGAUGUGUUAUAGAAACCUGUGAUGUGAUGUUUGAUGAAUUUAACCGCUCCCAUGGGGAGCAAGUUGACCUAAGUGAUGCAGGUGAAGAAGAUUCCUCGCAAGAUAUCUUGAACAUGGGUGUAGGUGCACUUCUUCCCAUGGAAUAAGAACCUCAUGAUGAUGACUUUCUCAUCCUCAGGACAGUUCACUGCACGUACGUCCACAAGAUACUAGCACACAUAUCAUGUCAGUUGUUCAGGAUCAAGUGGGAGAACAUGUCUCUCACCCUGAUCACACUCAAGAACAAGUUGACCUUCAAGAGCAAGACCAAAGUAUGGAUAUUGUUGAUGAUGAACCUCAACAGGUGCAACGCGAAGAGGAAUAUCUUCCACCGCACGUUAAUGAUCCAUGUGUUGAGGACGAUGAUGAUGGAAACGAAGUCAAACCUCGUGAAACCAUGACCUCCAUCAUGCCACGUGUGGCCGGUCGUGUUGAUGUUGAUCAAAUCCUCACCGGCGUGUCGGAAGGUAGAGUGACUCGUAAACAUUUAACAAACUUUUGUGCUCACUUUUCGUUUGUCUCUAGUACUGUGCCACACAGGGUUCAUGAUGCAUUGUGUGACAAUGACUGGCUCCUUGCUAUGCAAGAAGAGUUAAACAGUUUUACACGCAACGAAGUAUGGUUAUUGGUAAAACGACCAACUGAGGAACACAAUGUCAUUGGAACUAAAUGGAUCUUCAAGAACAAGGAAGAUGAGAAUGGGACUGUCCUCCGCAACAAGGCAAGGUUAGUAGCACAGGGGUACUCCCAAGUUGAAGGUUUGGACUUUGGUGAGACUUUCGCCCCUGUUGCUCGUCUUGAAUCCAUUCGCAUUCUAUUGGCCUAUGCUGCUUUCAUUGGUUUUACUUUGCAUCAAAUGGAUGUGAAAAGUGCUUUCCUUAACGGUCCUCUACAAGAAGAGGUAUAUGUAUCACAACCACCUGGGUUUGUUGACCCCAAUUACAAAGACCAUGUGUACAAACUUCACAAGGCUCUGUAUGGCCUCAAACAAGCACCCCGUGCUUGGUACGAUCAUCUUAAGAAGUUCUUACUCGAUGAUGGCUUUGUGAGAGGGGUGAUCGAUCCCACUCUUUUUACUAAGAGGGAAAACGGUGAUUUGAUCUUAUGCCAAAUCUAUGUGGAUGACAUCAUUUUUGGUUCUCCUAACAUCCAUUUAUGCAAGAAGUUUGCGGCCUCCAUGACCAAGACCUUUGAGAUGUCACUCAAUACGGACUUGAAGUUCUUUCUUGGGUUUCAAAUACAACAAUUUCAAGAAGGAAUUUUCUUGUCUCAAACUAAAUACCUCAAGGACAUUCUAGAAAAAAUUAAUAUGACAAAUGCUAAACCAAUGAAGAUGCCCAUGGCCACAGAUGUUGUUCUAAAUGAAGGCACCAACGGUAUUCCUUUUGACCCAUCUACUUACCGCUCUAUGAUUGGUUCGUUGCUUUAUCUUUGUGCAUCUAGACCGGACAUCAUGUUAAGUGUAGGCAUAUGUGCUAGAUUCCAAGCUUCCCCUAGGGAAAGCCAUCAUACGGCGGUUAAGCAUAUUCUUAGAUACCUUGUUCACACCCCAAAGUUAGGCCUAUGGCACCCUAAGGAUGCAAAGUUCGAUCUCAUUGGGUACUCCGAUGCGGAUUGGGCUGGUGACAAAGUGGGACGGAAAUCCACUUCCGGUGCAUGUCAGUUUCUUGGAUGUUCCUUGGUAAGUUGGUCCUUGAAAAAGCAGAAUUGUGUUUCUCUCUCCACGGCCGAGGCCGAAUAUAUUGCAGCCGCAAGCUGUGCAACCCAACUGCUAUGGAUGAGGCAAACCCUAAAGGAUUAUGGCAUCACCUAUUGACACGUGCCUCUUCUCUGUGAUGAUGAAAGUGCCAUCAAGAUCUCCGAGAACCCCAUUGAUCACCCUCGCACAAAACACAUUAAUAUUAGGUAUCAUUUCUUGAGAGACCAUGUGCAAAAGGGUGACAUUGAUAUUGCUCAUGUGGUUACCGACAUGCAGCUCGCUGACAUCUUCACCAAGCCACUAUGCGUAGCAAGAUUCUGUCAACUUAGGCGUGAACUUGGUAUCUUGGAGCUUGAUAACUGUCACGCCCAAGAUGCGACCCUAUCCUCAAUUUGGCACGAAGGCCUCGUCAGGGAUAGAAGCGCAUCUCGUCAUGUCGCAAGAAUGGAUACCGUUACAAGUACAUGUACUGAAAAGAAGAGAGAUAUAUAUAGAAUUUGGCUUACACUCGCCACGAGCUACAUCAGAGUCACAGUAGUACAAAUACAUAAUCAUCAUGAAGAAGAGCAGGGUCUGACUACGGACGAAAACAAAAGAGAAAAGAAGAACGACGUCCAUCCUUGCUAUCCCAGGCUGCCGGCCUGGAAACCAUCCUAGACCGAUGAAGAAGAAGAAGANAGAAGAAGCAACUCCAAAUGAACAAUCAACGCGCUCGCAUCGAGUAACCUUUACCUGUACCUGCAAUUGGUGUUGUAGUAAUCUGUGAGCCACAGGGGACUCAGCAAUCUCAUUUCCAAAGGUACCAAGACUAGCAAAGCUUAAUGGGUGAGGCAUGGUUAAGUGGUCAGGUUGCAGCAGCGACUAAGCAUAUAUUUGGUGGCUAACUUACGAGUACAAUAAUAAAGAGGGGGAGAUCUAUGCAUAACGGACGUGACUACUCAUGAUCAAAUGAAUGAUCGUGAACACCUACCUACGUCAGGCAUAACCCCACCAUGUCCUCGAUCGGAGAAAGUACUCACGAAAGAGACAGUCACGGUUACGCACACAGUUGGCAUAUUUUAAUUAAGUUAACUUCAAGUUAUCUAGAACCAGUGUUAAACAAGUUUCCACGUUACCACAUAACCGCGGGCACGGCUUUCCGAAAAAUUUAACCCUGCAGGGGUGCUCCAACUAGUCCAUCACAAAUUACCACAAGCCGCAUAGAAAUCCUCGAUCACGACACUCGCNNNNNNNNNNNNNNNNNNNNNNNNNNNNNNNNNNNNNNNNNNNNNNNNNNNNNNNNNNNNNNNNNNNNNNNNNNNNNNNNNNNNNNNNNNNNNNNNNNNNGUAUCUCUGGGCCCACUCGGUAGAACAUCAUCAUGAGCUCAAUGUGACUAAGGAGUUAGUCACACGAUGACGUGCUACGGAACGAGUAAAGAGACUUACUGGUAACGAGAUUGAACAAGGUAUAGGUAUACCGACGAUCGAAUCUCGGGCAAGUUCUAUACCGACAGACAAAGGGAAUCGUAUACGGGAUUGAUUGAAUCCUUGACAUCGUGGUUCAUCCGAUGAGAUCAUCGUGGAGCAAGUGGGAGCCACCAUGGGUAUCCAGACCCCGCUGAUGGUUAUUGGCCAGAGAGGUGUCUCGCUCAUGUAUGCCUGUCUCCCGAACCCGUAGGGUCUACACACUUAAGGUUCGAUGACGCUAGGGUUAUAGGGAAUUGUUAUACGAGGUUACUGAAAGUUGUUCGGAGUCCCGGAUGAGAUCCCGGACGUCACGGGGAGCUCCGUAAUGAUCCGGAGGUAAAGAUUGAUAUAUAGGACGGAUGGUUUUGGACACCGGAAGUGUUUCGGGCGUCACCGGUAAUGUACCGGGACCACCGGAGGUGGCCCCGGGGACCACCGAAGGGGGGCAACGACCCCGGGAGGCUAGAUGGCCUAAGUGGGGAAGGGAACCAGCCCCUAGGUGGGCUGGUGCGCCCCCCACCCAGCCCAUGCGCAUCAGAGAAAGGGGGAAGGGGGAAACCCUAGGCGCAGUUGAGGCCCAAGGCCCACCUAGGGUGCGCCCCCCCUUUCCCUGCCCUGGCCGCCGCCCCCCUCCCAUCUGGUGGCUGCCGCACCACCUAGGUGGGGAACCCUAGGGGUGGCGCACCCCCUCCCCCUCCUCCUAUAAAUAUAGAGGGGUUUUGUCCAUUGGAGAACACACUUUGCCCUCUCUCUCGGCGCAGCCCUGCUCUUCUUCCNGCGCGGGAGACGUCACCGGGCUGCACGUGUGUUGAACGCGGAGGUGCCGUUGUUCGGCACUAGAUCGGAAUCGCUGCGAGUACGACUCCAUCAACCGUGUUCUAGCAACGCUUCCGCUUAGCGAUCUUCAAAGGUAUGAAGAUGCUCUUACCCCUCUUUCGUUGCUGGUCUCUCCAUAGGAAGAUCUGAAUAUGCGUAGGAAAAUUUUGAAUUUAUGCUACGUUACCCAACAGUGGCAUCCAACCAGGUUUUCUAUGCGUAGAUUCUAUGCACGAGUAGAACACAAAAGUUGUGGGCGAUGAUUUGUCAAUUUGCUUGCCGCUACUAGUCUUAUUCUUUUCCGGCGGUAUUGUGGUAUGAAGCGGCCCGGACCGACUUUACACGUACACUUACGUGAGACUGGUUCCACCGACAGACAUGCACAUCGUGCAUAAAGGUGGCUAGCGGGUGUCUCUCUCUCCUACUCUAGUCGGAUUGGAUUUGAUGAAAAGGGUCCUUAUGAAGGGUAAAUAGCUUUGGCAUAUAAUCGUUGUGGCUGUCACGUAGGUAAGAAGGCGUUCUUGCUAGAAACCCAAAUCAGCCACGUAAAACUUGCAACAACAAUUAGAGGACGUCUAACUUGUUUUUGCAGGGUUUGACAUGUGAUGUGAUAUGGCCAAAGUUGUGAUGUUGCAUGUAUAAUGUAUGAGAUGAUCAUGUUAUUGUAAUAGGUUUCACGACUUGCAUGUCGAUGAGUAUGACAACCGGCAGGAGCCAUAGGAGUUGUCUUAAUUUAUUGUAUGAGAUGCAACGCCAUGUGCUUACUACUUUUACUUCAUUGCUAACGGUUAGCUAUAGUAGUAGUGAUAGUAGUAGUUGGCGUGACGACUUCACGGAGACACGAUGAUGGAGAUCAUGAUGAUGGAGAUCAUGGUGUCACGCCGGUGACGAUGAUGAUCAUGCGAUGCCUGAAGAUGGAGAUCGAAAGAGCAAAGAUGAUAAUGGCCAUAUCAUGUCACUAUAUGAUUGCAUUGUGAUGUUUAUCAUGUUUUACAUCUUAUUGCUUAGAACGACGGUAGCAUAAUAAGAUGAUCCCUCUUGAAAUUUCGAGAACGUAUUCCCCUAAGUGUGCACCAUUGCGAAGGUUCGUUGUCUCGAAGCACCACGUGAUGAUCGGGUGUGAUAGAAUCUAAGGUUCGCAUACAACGGGUGUAAGCCAGAUUUACACAGGCGAAACACCUAGGUUGACUCGACGAGCUUAGCAUGUACAGACAUGACCUCGAAUACAAGAGACCGAAAGGUCGAACAUGAUUCGUAUGGUUGAAUACGAUCAGCAUGGAGUUGCUCACCAUGGUGACUAGUCCGUCUCACGUGAUGAUCGGACACGGGUUAGUCAACAUGGAUCAUGUAUCACUUAGAUGACUAGAGGGAUGUCGAUUUAAGUGGGAGUUCAUAUUUAAUUUGAUUAAAUGAACUUAAUUGUCAUGAACUUAGUCUAAAAGUUGUCUUUAUAAAUAUUGUAGAUGUCCAACGUCAACCUCAAUUUCAACGCAUUCCUAGAGAAAAACAAGCUGAAAGAUGAUGGUAGCAACUAUGCGGACUGGGUUNNNNNNNNNNNNNNNNNNNNNNNNNNNNNNNNNNNNNNNNNNNNNNNNNNNNNNNNNNNNNNNNNNNNNNNNNNNNNNNNNNNNNNNNNNNNNNNNNNNNCGAGACACCUCUCUGGCCAAUAACCAUCAGCGGGGUCUGGAUACCCAUGGUGGCUCCCACUUGCUCCACGAUGAUCUCAUCGGAUGAACCACGAUGUCAAGGAUUCAAUCAAUCCCGUAUACGAUUCCCUUUGUCUGUCGGUAUAGAACUUGCCCGAGAUUCGAUCGUCGGUAUACCUAUACCUUGUUCAAUCUCGUUACCAGUAAGUCUCUUUACUCGUUCCGUAGCACGUCAUCGUGUGACUAACUCCUUAGUCACAUUGAGCUCAUGAUGAUGUUCUACCGAGUGGGCCCAGAGAUACCUCUCCGUCACACGGAGUGACAAAUCCCGAUCUCGAUUCGUACCAACCCAAUAGAUACUUUCGGAGGUACCCGUAGUGCACCUUUAUAGUCACCCAGUUACGUUGUGACGUUUGAUACACUUAAAGCACUCCUACGGUAUCCGAGAGUUGCACAAUCUCAUGGUCGAAGGAAAAGAUACUUGACAUUAGAAAAUCAUUAGCAUACGAACAAUACGAUCUAGUGCUAGGCUUAGGAUUGGGUCUUGUCCAUCACAUCAUUCUCCCAAUGAUGUGAUCCCAUUAUCAAUGACAUCUAAUGCCCAUGAUCAGGAAACCAUGAUCAUCUAUUGAAUAACGAGCUAGCCAACUAGAGGCUUGCUAGGGACACAUUGUGAUCUAUUUAUUCACACAUGUAUUACUGUUUCCUGUUAAUACAAUUAUAGCAUGAACAAUAGACGAUUAUCAUGAACGAGGAAAUAUGAUAAUAACCAUUUUAUUAUUGCCUCUAGGGCAUAUUUCCAACACCUAUUGCAUAUGGUGGGUGGGUCUAUGCAGUCUCUUCGUCAGUUGUCCCCUCCACCACUCCUUUCUUCUUCCUCAUCUCUCCGCCGCCAUAACUCAUUUUCUUCUCCAUCAUCUCCGACGUUCCCUCUCUUUCCUGCUGCAGCACCUUUGGCAUACGCACUUGGCAAGUGUGCCGCGACGAGACCCCUCUCCAGCAGACGCCCAGCUCUAGGAACUCGAACUGCGUGUUGUAGGUGCUGCAAGCAUAGGUUGCCGAGUUGGAACGCUAGCCACCCCGUGUCGCGAACUGGUUACACCGGUGAGCUGAAAAUGGCGCACGCGACCUGCCGUGCUACAACCAUUGAUACAAUAUGUUGGAACCCGCCGACAGAGGAGCUGCAACCGGCCAAGCCAAGAGCUGGAACCGACGCAUGUUGUGCUGGGCAUCGCCACACGUGCCAUGUUAGAACCAUGUUCUGGCGAUGCUAGAACCGUGUUCCAGAGAUGUUGGAACCAUGUUCUAGCAAUGUUGGAACCGUGUUUUAGCAAUGCUGGAAUGGGGGUCGGUGAUGCUUAAAAGCUUUAGGACAGCGGGCAAAAUGCUGGAACCAUUACCGACAAAAGUUGCAAUAGUCGUCAGAUUUUGCUACCACCGGCAAAGGAUUCUGCUACAUGCUUCAUGGCAGAGCUGCAACCCUGCGACGGCGAUGACUUUUUUUCCACAGUCGUAGUUAUUUUUCGCUACCACUGGUGAUGUAUUUUGCCACAUCCAUUAAAUGUCGUUUAGUAUUGGCCGUCCAUAAUCCCGUGCAACUAGUGCCGACGCCGAGUGCGACCGCGGUUGUGCAUCGUGGUGUUGCAUAAUGAUGCAUCAACGGCUGGAGUUGCAGCCAGUUAGGGCGGAGUUGCAAGCGAAAUUGAUGAGCGGGGAAGUUCUUCGACAAGCAGCGGAGGGCUGCGAGUCGUCGGAGUGUGAGCGCCGACGACCGACGUCUGUUUGCCCUCGCGGAGCUGCACACGGAGGCGUAGGAGCGUGGGGUAGGGUGUGGGGAUUUUUUUCUUUGAUAUGCGAUGGGAGAUAGAGGACGAGUCAAGGAUGAAGGAGAGAGCUAGAUCGGAUGACUGAUCUAUGCCAGAUCGAACGGUUGGGGUUCGAGUGGCCGAAACUUUCAGCUAGUACUGCCCUUUCUCUAUCUAUUCUAACACACCAUGAAGCUUGGUGGAGAGUUCAUCCACUACCUCUAUAAAAGCACGAAGAGGCAGAUCCAACUCACCAUCUCACCUGCCUGAUUACGUCAUCAAUCGUCAAGAAUUAUCAUUAAAAAAUUCAUCCCAGCUAACGAAACCAAUUGAAGCCAAUCCCAUCGGCGAGGAAACCCACCCACACUUCCACGCCCGGGAACCGCUCACAAAAUCACCUCGCUUGAGAACUCAUCCAGGCCUAGCUCNNNNNNNNNNNNNNNNNNNNNNNNNNNNNNNNNNNNNNNNNNNNNNNNNNNNNNNNNNAGCCGCCGUCGCUGCCUCGCGCAACAACCACAACCAUUGCCCUCGCCUCACAUAGCGACGCGUCGCCCGUCGCUCGGCCAACCCGGACAAGCAGGACAAGGGCGCAGGGCAAGGAAAGGACAUGGGCGAUCGCAAUGAACCCUCCUUUCAUGGUAUUUAUCAUUUUUAUGCGAUGAACGCAACCUGUAGGUGCCUCCGUUCAUGAUUUGCAUAUCCAGAAUUUGUUGUCUGGCCAUCUAAGAGAAUUAGCUCACUACGCUAAGGAAUUAGGACAAUUCAGUUACAUGAUCUGACUGUUUAUAGAGGGAUCUAAAAGACUGAUGAUAUGCAAAUAUGAUCUCAAGUCUCAAAGUGCAUGUUGUUCUAUGUUCUUGGGCAUGUACAAAGGCUUAGAUAAACACCACCAAGGUUGAGGACGAAAAAGAUUGCACACACUAACCAUUAUUAUCUUCUUGUGAUAAUUUUAGGCUUGUACGAGGAAACUUGAAGAGGCAAUUUUAGUUGGUGGUGUGCUUUAAUAUUUCAUAUUGUUGUUCGUGUGUUCCUGUUGGAAAUAUGCCCUAGAGGCAAUAAUAAAGUGGUUAUUAUUAUAUUUCCUUGUUCAUGAUAAUUUUCUAUUGUUCAUGCUACAAUUGUAUUAACUGGAAACAGUAAUACAUGUGUGAAUAUAUAGACCACACCAAGUCCCUAGUGAGCCUCUAGUUGACUAGCUCGUUGAUCAAAGAUGGUUAAUGUUUCCUAACCAUAGACAAGUGUUCUCACUUGAGUUCUAGAAUGGUCUGGAAACGAAGAUUGAUAUAUAGGAAGUUGGUAGUUCGUAGUAUCAUUUCCCUAGACCAUGAGAUUGUGCAACUCCCGGAUACCGUAGGAGUGCUUUGGGUGUAUCAAGAAUCACAACGUAACUGGGUGAUUAUAAUGGUGCACUACAGGUAUCUCUGGAAGUGUAUGUUGGGUGGGCACGAAUCGAGAUUGGGAUUUGUCACUCCGUAUGAAGGAGAGGUAUCUCUGGGCCCACUGAGUAAUACAUCAUCCUAUUGAGCUCAGUGUGACUAAGGAGUUAGUCACAGGAUCAUGUGUUACGGAACGAGUAAAAAAACUUGCCUCUAACGAUAUUGAACAAGGUAUGGGGAUACCGACGAUCGGAUUUCGGGCAAGUUAUAUACCGAUAGACAAAGGGAAUUGCAUACGGGAUUGAUUGAAUCCCCGACAUCGUGGUUCAUCCGAUGAGAUCAUCGUGGAACAUGUGGGAGCCAACAUGGAUAUCCAGAUCCCGCUAUUGGUUAUUGACCGGGGAGGUGUCUCGGUCAUGUCUGCAUGGUUCCCGAACUCGUAGGGUCUACACACUUAAGGUUCGAUGACGCUAGAGUUGUAAUGAGAAUAAUAUGUGGUUAUCAAAAGUUGUUCGGAGCCCCGGAUGAGAUCCCAGACGUCCCGAGGAGCUCCGGAAUGGUCAGUAGGUAAAGAUUCAUAUAUAGGAAGUGGAGAUUAGAUCACAGGAAAUGUUUCGAGGAUCAUCGGUAUUGUACCGGGACUACCGGAAGGGUUACGGGGGUUCACCAGCCCCGGAGAGCCACGUGGGCCAAAAGUGGAAGGAAACCAACCCCUAGAUGGGCUGGUGCGUCACCCACCAAGGCCCAAGGAACCUAGGGCUAGCAACCCUAGGGCGUGGAGGUGGCCCACCUCCAACUUGGGAGGCAAGCCACCUCCCACCUGGCCACCGCCCCCUGCUUGGACCGCCGCCCCUCCUAGGGUUACCUAGGGUGGCCGGCCUGCCUUUCCCCUCCCCUAUAUAUACCCAAGGGUUUUGGGGCUGCAACACACAACUUUUCUCUCCCUCUUGGUGCAACCCUACCCUCUCUCUUUCUCCUCCUCCGCGGUGCUUGGCGAAGCCGUGCCGGAGAACCACAUAGCUACACCGCCACCACGCCGACGUGCUGUCGAAGCUCUCCAUCAACUUCCCCUCUCCCCUUGCUGGUUCAAGGUAGAGGAGACAUCAUCGGUUUGCACGUGUGUUGAACGCGGAGGCGUCGUUGUUCGGCGCUUUGGAUCACAUCUACCGCGAUUUGAAUCGCUAUGAGUACGACUCCAUCACCCGCAUUCCUAGUAACGCUUCCGCUUAGCAAUCUUCAAAGGUAUGAAGAUGCUCUACCCCUUGCUCGUUGCUAGCAUCUCCUAGAUUGAUCUUGCUGUUUCGUUGCUAGCAUCUCCUAGAUUGAUCUUGCCGCGCCCGAAGAUGGAGAUCAAAGGCGCAAGAUGAUAAUGGCCAUAUCAUGUCACUAUAUGAUUUGCAUGUGAUGUUUAUCAUGUUGUUCAUCUUAUUGCUUAGAAUGACGGUAGCAAAGAUAAGAUGAUCCCUCGUUAAAUUUCAAGAUAAGUAUUCCCCUAAGUGUGCACCGUUGUGAAGGAUCGUUGUCUUGAAGCACCAUGUGAUGGUCGGGUGUGAUAGAUUCUAACGUUCGCAUACAAUGGGUGUAAGCCAGAUUUACACACACAAAACACUUAGGUUGACUUGACGAGCCUAGCAUGUACAGGAAUGGCCUCAGAAUACGAGAGACCAAAAGGUCGAACAUGAGUCGUAUGGAUGAUACGAUCAACAUGGAGAUGUUCACCAUUGAUGACUAGUCUGUCUCACGUGAUGAUCGGACACGGGCUAGUCGACAUGGAUCAUGUAUCACUUAGAUGACUAGAGGGAUGUCAAUCUAAGUGCGAGUUCAUUAAAUAAUUUGAUUAGAUGAACUUAAUUAUCAUGAACUUAGUCUAACAAUGUCUUUACAGUAUUGUAGAUCCAAUGGCCAAUGCUCCUGUCAACCUCAAUUUCAACACGUUCCUAGAGAAAACCAAGCUGAAAGACGAUGGUAGAAACUAUGUGGACUGAGCUCGUAACUUAAAGCUCAUCCUCAUUGCUUCCAAGAAGGCAUAUGUCCUUGAUGCGUCGCUAGGUGACCCUCCCGUUCCCACGGCAGCCCAGGACGUUCAUAACGCGUGGCAGUCACGAAGUGAUGACUACUCUCUGGUUCAUUGUGGCAUGCUAUACAGUUUAGAACCGGGGCUCAAAAAACGUUUUGAGCAACCUGGAGCAUAUGACAUGUUCGAGGAGCUGAAAUUGGUUUUCCAAGAUCAUGCCCAGAUCAAGAGAUAUGAGGUCUCCGACUAGUUCCUCAGCUGUAAGAUGGAGGAAAAUAGUUCUGUCAGUGAGCACAUACCCAGAAUGUGUGGGUUGCACAACCGUCUGUCUCAGCUGGAAGUUAAUCUUCCGGAUGACGCGGUUAUUGACAGAAUCCUCCAGUCGCUUCCACAUAGCUACAAGAGGUUCGUGAUGAAUUAUAACAUGCAAGGGAUGGAAAAGAACAUUCCCGAGUUAUAUUCAAUGCUGAGAUCAGCGGAGGUGGAAAUCAAGAAGGAACAUCAAGUGUUGAUGGUGAAUAAGACCACUAGUUUAAUAAAAGGCAAGGGUAAAAAGAACUUCAAGAAGGACGGCAAAGAAGUUGCCACGCCCGGUAAAAAGGUUUCCUGGAAGAAGCGCAAGAAUGUCGCAAGCCUGAGACUGAGUGUUGUCAUUGCAAGGGAGCCAGUCACUGGAAGCGAAACUACCCCAAAUACUUAGCGGAUAAGAAGGCCGGAAAUGUCAAAGGUAUAUAUGAUGUACAUGUUAUUGAUGUGUACCUUACCAGCACUCGUAGUAGCUCCUAGGUAUUUGAUACCGGUGUUGUUGCUCACAUUUGCAACUGAAAAACAGGAACUGCAGAAUAAGCAGAGACUGGCAAAGGGCAAUGUGACGAUGCUCGUGGGAAUGGUUCCAAGGUCGAUGUGAUCGUCGUCGGCACGCUACCUCUACAUCUACCUUCGGGAUUAGUUUUAAACCUUAAUAAUUGUUAUUUAGUACUAGCUUUGAGCAUGAACAUUGUAUCUGAAUCUCGUUUGAUGCGAGAUGGCUACUCAUUUAAAUCUUAGAAUAAUGGUUGUUCUAUUUAUAUGAGUGAUAUGUUUUAUGGUCAUGUCCAUCUGGUCAAAGUUUAUUCUUAAUGAAUCUCGAACGUGAUGUUAUGCAUAUUCAUAGUGUGAGUACUAAAAGAUGCAAAAUUAAUAAUGAUAGUCCCACAUACUUGUGGCAUUGCCUCCCUGGUCAUAUCGGCGUCAAACGCAUGAAGAAACUCCAUGCUGACGGACUUUUGGAGUCUCUUGAUAAUGAAUCAUUUGACACGUGCAAGCUGUGCCUCAUGGGUAAGAUGACUAAGACUCUGUUCUCCGGAACAAUGGAGCGAGCAACCAACUUGUUGGAAAUAAUACAUAGCGAUGUAUGCGAUCCAAUGAGCGUUGAGGCUUGCGGUGGCUACCGUUAUGUUCUCACCCUCACUAAUGACUUAAGCAGAUAUGGGUAUGUCUACGUAAUGAAACACAAGUCUGAAACCUUUGAAAGGUUCAAGGAAUUUCAGAGUGAGGUUGAAAAUCAACGUGACAAGAAAAUAAAGUGCCUACGAUCUGAUCAUGGAGGAGAAUAUUUGAGUCACGAGUUUGGCACACACUUAAGAAAAUGUGGAAUUGUUUCACAACUCAUGCUGCCUGGCACACCUCAGUGUAAUGGUGUGUCUGAGCGUCGUAAUCGCACUCUAUUGGAUAUGGUGUAAUCUAUGAUGUCUAUUACUGAUUUAUCGCUAUCAUUUUGGGGAUACGCAUUGGAAACUUCCGCAUUCACUUUAAAUAGGGCACCGUCUAAAUCCGUUGAGAUGACACUGUAUGAAUUAUGCUUUGGGAAGAAACCUAAGCUGUCGUUUCUGAAAGUUUGGGGCUAUGAUGCUUAUGUGAAGAAACUUCAACGUGAGAAGCUCAAACCCAAAGCGAAAAAUGCGUCUUCAUAGGAUACCCUAAGGAAACUAUUGCGUAUACCUUCUAUCUUAGAUUCGAAGGAAAAUCUUUGUUGCCAAGAACGGAUCCUUUCUAGAGAAAGAGUUUCUCUCAAAAGAAGUAAGUGGGAGGAAAAUAGAACUUGAUGAGGUAACUGAAAUCCCUCUUGAACUAGAAAGUAGCGCAGCGUGGGAAAUUGUUCCCGUGGUGCCUGCACCGACUAGAGAGGAAGUUAAUGACGAUGAUCAUGAAACUUCGGAUCAAGUUACUACUGAACCUCUAAGGUCCACAAGGAUAUGUUCCGCACCAGAGUGGUUCGACAACCCAGUCCUAGAAAUAAUGUUGUUAGACAACGGUGAACCUUCGAACUAUGAAGAAGCAAUGGUCGGCCCGGAUUCCAACAAAUGGCUUGAAGCCAUGAAAUUCGAGAUAGGAUCCAUGUAUGAGAACAAAGUAUGGACUUUUGUGGACUUGCCCAAUGAUCAGCAAUCCACAGAAAAUAAAUGGGUCUUUAAGAAGAAUACUGACGCAGAUGGUAAUGUGACCGUCUAUAAGGCUGAGCUUGUCGCUAAGGGUUACCGACAAGUUCAAGGAGUUGACUACGAUGAGACUUUCUCACCCAUAGCGAUGUUGAAGUUCGUCCGAAUCAUGUUAGCAAUUGCCGCAUUUUAUGAUUAUGAGAUCUAGCAAAUGGACGUCAAAACGACAUUCCUUAACAGUUUCCUUAAGGAAGAAUUGUAUAUGAUGCAUCCAGAAGGUUUUGUCGAUCCUAAGAGUGCUGACAAGGUAUGCGAGCUCCAACGCUCCAUCUAUGGGCUGGUGCAAGCAUCUCAAAGUUGGAACAUUCACUUUAAUGAGGUGAUUAAAUCGUUCGGGUUUAUGCAGACUUAUUGAAAAGCCUGCAUUUACAAGAAAGUGAGUGGGAGCUCUGUAGCAUUCCUCAUUUUAUAUGUGGACGACAUAUUGCCGAUGGAAAAUGAUAUAGAACUUUUGGAAAGCGUAAAAGCCUACUUGAAUAAGUAUUUUUCAAUGAAGGACCUUGGGGAAGCUGCUUACAUAUUAGGCAUCAAGAUCUAUAUAGAUAGAUCGAGAUGCCUCAUAGGUCUUUCACAAAACACAUACCUUGACAAGAUAUUGAAGAAGUUCAAUAUGGAUAAGUCUAAGAAGGUGUUAUUGCAUGUAUAGCAAGGUAUGAGAUUGAGUAAGACUCAAUGCCCGACCAAAGCACAAGAUAGAGAAAAGAUGAGUAACAUCCCCUAUGCUUCAGUCGUAGGCUCUAUUAUGUAUGCCAUAGUGUGUACCAGACCUGAUGUGAACCUUGCCAUGAGUUUGGUAGGGAGGUACCAAAGUGAUCCUGGUAUGGAACGCUGGACAACGGUCAAUAAUAUCCUAAAGUACCUGAAAAGGACUAAAGAUAUGUUUCUCGUUUAUGGAGGUGCCGAAGAGCUCGUCGUAAAGGGUUACGCCGAUGAUAGCUUCGACAGAGAUCCGGAUGACUCCAAGUCACAAAUCGGAUACGUGUAUGUUUUGAAUGGUGGGGUAGUCAGCUGGUGCACUUUUAAGCAAGGCGUCGUGGCGGCAUCUACAUGUGAAGCAGAGUACAUAGCUGCUGCAGAAGCAGCGCAUGAAGGGAUCUGGAUGAAGGACUUCAUCACUGACCUAGGAGUAAUUCCCAGUGCGUCGGGCCCGAUGACUCUCUUGUGUGAUAACACUGGAGCUAUUGUCAUAGCCAAGGAGCCCAAGCACAUCAAGCGCUGCUUCAACUCCAUCCGUGAUUACAUUCAGGAAGGAGAUAUAGAUAUUUGUAAAGUACAUGCAGAUCUGAAUGUUGUAGAUCUUUUGAGUAAACCUCUUCCGCGAGCGAAACAUGAUCAACACCAGAACUCUACGGGUGUUCGUUUCAUCACAAUGUAACUAGAUUAUUGACUCCAGUGCAAGUGGGGGACUGUUGGAAAUAUGCCCUAGAGGCAAUAAUAAAGUGGUUAUUAUUAUAUUUCCUUGUUCAUAAUAAUUGUCUAUUGUUCAUGCUACAAUUGUAUUAAGAGGAAACAGUAAUACAUGUGUGAAUAUAUAGACCACACCAAGUCCCUAGUGAGCCUCUAGUUGACUAGAUGGUGGAUCAAUAGAUGGUCAUGGUUUCCUGCUCAUGGACAUUGGAUGUCAUUGAUAAUGGGAUCACAUCAUUAGGAGAAUGAUGUGAUGGACAAGACACAAUCCUAAGCAUAGCACAAGAUCGUGUAGUUUGUCUCCUAAAGCUUUUCUAAUGUCAAUUAUCAUUUCCUUAGACCAUGAGAUUGUGCAACUCCCAGAUACCGUAGGAGUGCUUUGGGUGUAUCAAAAGUCACAACGUAACUGGGUGAUUAUAAAGGUGCACUACAGGUAUCUCCGAAAGUGUCUGUUGGGUGGGCACGAAUCGAGACUGGGAUUUGUGACUCCGUAUGACGGAGAGGUAUCUCUGGGAUCACUCGGUAAUACACCAUCCUGUUGAGCUCAAUGUGACUAAGGAGUUAGUCACACGAUCAUGUGUUACAGAACGAGUAAAAGACUUGCGAGUAACGAUAUUGAACAAGGUAUGAGGAUACCGACGAUAGGGUCUCGGGCAAGUUAUAUACCGAUAGACAAAGGGAAUUGCAUACGGGAUUGAUUGAAUCCCCGACAUCGUGGUUCAUCCGAUGAGAUCAUCGUGGAACAUGUGGGAGACAAUAUGGAUAUCCAGAUCCCCCUGUUGGUUAUUAACCGGAGAGGUGUCUCGGUCAUGUCUGCAUGGUUCCCGAACCCGUAGGGUCUACACACUUAAGGUUCGAUGACGCUAGAAUUGUAAUGAGAAUAGUAUGUGGUUACCGAAAGUUGUUCAGAGUCCCGGGUGAGAUCCCGGAUGUCACGAGGAGCUCCGGAAUGGUCCGGAGGUAAAGAUUCAUAUAUAGGAAGUGGAUAUUAGAUCACCGGAAAUGUUUCAAGGAUCAUCUGUAUUGUACUGGGACCACCAUAAGGGUUUCGAGGGUCCACCGGGAGGGGCCACCAGCCCCGGAGAGCCACGUAGGCCAAAAGUGGAAGGGAACCAGCCGCUAGAUGGGUUGGUGCGCCACCCACCAAGGCCCAAGGCGCCUAGGGCUGGUUACCCUAGGGCGUGGAGGUGGCCCACCUCCAACUUGGGAGGCAAGCCACCUCCCACCUGGCAACCGUCCCCUGCUUGGGCCACCGCCCCUCCCAUAUGGGUGGCCGCCGCCCCUCCUAGGGUUUCCUAGGGUGGCCGGCCUGCCCUUCCCCUCCUCCUAUAUAUAUCCAAUGGUUUUGGGGCUGCAACAUGCAAGUUUUCACUCCCUCUCGGCGCAGCCCUACCCUCUCUCUCCAUCCUCCUCCGCGGUGCUUGGCGAAGCCCUGUCGGAGAACCACAUAGCUCCACCGCCACCACACCGUCGUGCUGCCGGAGCUCUCCACCAACUUCCCCUCUCCGCUUUCUGGUUCAAGGUAGACGAGACGUCACCGGGAUGCACGUGUGUUGAACAUGGAGGCACCGUUUGUCGGCCCUUUGGAUCACAUCUACUGCGAUCUGAAUCGCUACGAGUACGACUCCAUCACCCGCGUUCAUAGUAACGCUUCCGCUUAGCAAUCUUCAAAAGUAUGAAGAUCAUCUACCCCUUGCUCGUUGCUAGCAUUUCCUAGAUUGAUCUUGGUGUUUCGUAGGAAUUUUUUUGAAUUUCUCCCUCGAGCCCCAACAGUUCCUCCAUCAUCGUGUCUUCUUCUAUUAGUUUGAAUUUUCUAGCGCAUGAACUACCAAGUGAAUUUUCCUAGCUCCGAUGGUUGCGCCACUGAGGAUGCUAUCAGCGAAAAUAAAGGCAAUUUGUACUGGGACGUCUUGGCCGAGCUGCAGGACCUCCGCCUCGACGAGCUGUAGAAUCUCCACCUCGCUCUGGUUUUUGUGGUACGGGCCCUUCCCCACUCCAUCAAAUAGUGACUUAUAUUUUGUUCUGCUUUGUUCUUAGACAAGUGUGGUAAAUUGUAUGGUAAAGUGUGGCAUCUACUACCCCUAUAAAGCACGAAGAGACAGAUCCAAAUCCUCAACUCAGCCAUUUGAUUACAUCAUCAAUGAUCAAAAAUCAUUGUUAACGAAAUUCAUCCCAUCGCUAACGAAGAUAAUCCCAUCGCUGAGGAAACCCACCCCCACUUCAAUGCUCAAGAACCGCUCGCAAACUCAGCCACGCCGCCCGACCUCCCCACCCCCGAUGGUCGCUCGCCUCGUCCAGCCACCGGCCCCGCUCGGCCCACUUGCCCCCACUCGUCGCUCGCCUCGCGCCGUCGCCCUUGUCUCACACAGCCUCGUGCAGUCGCCGCCCCCGCCUCGUGCAGCCACCGCCACCACCUUGCGCAGCCUCACGCCGUCCUCUCUGCUCACCCGGACAAGCGGGACAAGGGCACCGUUCAAGGAGAGGACAGGGGCGAUCGCGGUGAACCCUCCGUUCAUGGUACUGUAACGUCCAAGAUGUGGCACUAUCCAUAUUUGGGGAUUAGGUCUUAAUAUGGAUAGAGGCACAUCUUAGCGUUUCGCAAGUACAUAAAUCACCGCAAUACAUUUAUGAAGAGAAGAGUAUAUUGAUUAGCUUACACUCGCCACAAGUUAAGUUACAAGCCACACAACAUUAGUUCAAUCAUCCUAAGACCGGGUCCGGCUACAGACAAGAUAAAUGAUAAAAUGCAAUGACUCUGCCUCGUUAGUCUAGGAAACGAGCAAGGUCCUCUAAUCAUCGGGGUACAUUACGUACAAGCGCCCACUGCCUUCAUCGAAAUCCCAUUGAAGAUCGAUAACCCACAAGUAUAGGGGAUCGCAACAGUUUUCGAGGGUAGAGUAUUCAACCCAAAUUUAUUGAUUCAACUCAAGGGGAAGCGAAAGAAUAUUCUCAAGUAUUAGCAGUUGAGCUGUCAAUUCAACGACACCUAAAAGAUUUAGUAUCAGUAGCAAAGUAGGGUGAUAGCAGCAGUAGCAACAGUAACCAGUAGCAGCAAAGUAACAACAGUAGGAACAGAGUAACAACAGCAGCAGUCACAGCAGUAGCGGCAAAGUAACGUAGCAAGGACCAGUAGAAAAAGACUCGUAGGCAUUGGAUCAGUGAUGGAUGAUUAUGCCGGAUGUGAUUGAUCAUGCAACAGUUAUAACACGGAGAGAUAAGUAAAUAGCUCCAGUUCGUCAAUCUAAUGUAGGCAUGUAUUCCGCAUGUAGUCAUACGUGCUUAGGGAAAAUAACUUGCAUGACAUCUAUUGUCCAUCCCUCCCAUGGCAGCGGGGUCCUAAUGGAAACUACAGGAUAUUAAGGUUCUCCUUUGAAUAAAGAACCGGACCAAUGCAUUAACACUUGGUGAAUACAUGAACUCCUCAUACUAUGGUCAUCUCCGGGAGUGGUUCCGGCUAUUGUCACUCCGGGGUUGCAGGGUCAUAACACAUAGUAGGUGACUACAACUUGCAAGAUAGGAUCUAAAACACACAUAUAUUGGCGACAACAUAAUAGGUUCAGAUCUGAAAUCAUGGCACUCGAGCCCUAGUGACAAGCAUUAAGCAUGGCAAAGUAGUAGCAACAUCAAUCUCAGAACAUAGUGGAUACUAGGGAUCAAUUCCCGUCAAAACUAACUCGAUUACAUGAUAGAUCUCAUCCAACCCAUCACCGUCUAGAAAGCCUACGAAUAGAUUACUCACGAACGGUGAAGAGCAUCAUGGAAUUGGCGAUGAAGGAAGGUUGGUGAUGACGAUGGCGUCAAAGUUUGUUUUCUUGUGCUAAUGAUAUCACGAGUUUCUGUUUAAGUUUUGUGUUGUGAAGUUUUCAAGUUUUGGGUGAUGAUCUCAUGGACAAAGGGAUAAAGAGUGGAAAGAGCUCAAGCUUGGGGAUGCCCAAGGCAUCCCAAGCCAAAUUCAAGGACACCAAAAAGCCUAAGCUGGGGGAUGCCCCGGGAAGACAUCCCCUCUUUCGUCUCCAAUCCAUCGGUAAUAUUACUUGGAGCUAUAUUUUUAUUCACCACAUGAUAUGUGUUUUGCUUGGAGCGUCUUGUAUCAUAGGAGUCCUUUAUUUUUGUUGUGUCACAAUCAUCCUUGCUGCACACCUUUUGAGAGAGACAUGCACUCAUCGUGAAUUUUCUAGAAUACUCAUUGAGCUUCGCUUAUAUCUUUUGAGUUAGGCAAUUUAGCUCAUUGUGCUUCACUUAUAUCUUUUGAUCUAGAUAACUUUUCUCUUUGUGCUUCACUUAGAUCUUUUAGAGCACGGCGGUGUCAUAUUUUGGAGAAAUAAGAACUCUCGAUCUUCACUUAUAUCUUUUUGAGAGUGCUCUCUCUGAGUAACUUGGUAGUUGGCUUGUGUUAUGAAAGUAGUCCGAAAGAUGAUAGGCGCCCAAAGAGGAUACAAUAAAACUUCCAUAUUCAUGUGCAUUGAUUAGAAAGAGAAGUUUGAUUCCUCUCAAAUAGUUUUGAGACAUGGAUUUGGUAAUAUUAAGAGUUAUGCUAGUAGGGUGUUGUGAAUCUAGAAAUACUUGUGUUGAAGUUAGUGAUUCCCGUAACAUGCACGUAUGGUGGACCGCUAUGUUAGGAAGUCGGAGCAUAUUUGAUUUAUUGAUUGUCAUCCUUUGUGUUGCGGUCGGGAUUGCGCGAUGGUUAACACCUACCAACCCUUCCCCUAGGAGUAUGCGUUUAGCACUUUGUUUCGAUUACUAAUAAAAACUUUCGCAAUAAGUAUGUGAGUUCUUCAUGACUAAUGUGAGUCCAUGGUAUAGAUACACUUUCACCUUCCACCAUUGCUAGCCUCUCUAGUGCCGUGCAACUUUCGUCGGUACACAAAACCACAAUAUGCCUUCCUCAAAACAACCACCAUACCUACCUACUAUGGCAUUUUCAUAGCCAUUCCGAGAUAUAUUGCCAUGCAACUCCCACCGUUCGGUCUCAUGACUUGUGUCGUNNNNNNNNNNNNNNNNNNNNNNNNNNNNNNNNNNNNNNNNNNNNNNNNNNNNNNNNNNNNNNNNNNNNNNNNNNNNNNNNNNNNNNNNNNNNNNNNNNNNGUGAUCUCAUCCGGGACUCCGAACAACAUUCGGUAACCAACCAUAUAACUCAAAUACGCAUAAAACAACGUCGAACCUUAAGUGUGCAGACCCUGCGGGUUCGAGAACUAUGUAGACAUGACCCGAGUGACUCCUCGGUCAAUAUCCAAUAGCGGGACCUGGAUGCCCAUAUUGGAUCCUACAUAUUCUACGAAGAUCUUAUCGUUUGAACUUCAGUGCCAAGGAUUCAUAUAAUCCCGUAUGUCAUUCCCUUUGUCCUUCGGUAUGUUACUUGCCCGAGAUUCGAUCGUCAGUAUCCGCAUACCUAUUUCAAUCUCGUUUANCCGGCAAGUCUCUUUACUCAUUCCGUAAUACAAGAUCCCGCAACUUACACUAAGUCACAUUGCUUGCAAGGCUUGUGUGUGAUGUUGUAUUACCGAGUGGGCCCCGAGAUGCCUCUCCGUCACACGGAGUGACAAAUUCCAGUCUCGAUCCAUACUAACUCAACGAACACCUUCGAAGAUACCUGUAGAGCAUCUUUAUAGUCACCCAGUUACGUUGCGACGUUUGAUACACACAAAGCAUUCCUCNNNNNNNNNNNNNNNNNNNNNNNNNNNNNNNNNNNNNNNNNNNNNNNNNNNNNNNNNNNNNNNNNNNNNNNNNNNNNNNNNNNNNNNNNNNNNNNNNNNNACGGUGCCCUAUUUAAAGUGAAUGCUGCAGUUUCUAAUGCGUAUCCCCAAAAUGAUAGCGGUAAGUCGGUAAGAGACAUCAUAGAUCGUACCAUAUCUAAUAAAGUGCGAUUAUGACAUUCACACACCCCAUUACGUUGCGGUGUGCCAAGCGGCGUCAGUUGUGAAACGAUUCCACACUUCCUUAGGUGUGUGCCAAACUCGUGACUCAAAUAUUCUCCUCCACAAUCAGAUCGUAGACAUUUAAUUUUUUCUGUCACGUUGAUUCUCAACCUCACUCUGAAAUUCCUUGAACUUUUCAAACGUCUCAGAUUUGUGCUUCAUCAAGUAGAUAUACCCAUACCUACUCAAAUCAUCGGUGAGAGUGAGAACAUAACGAUAACCACCGCGAGCUUCAACGUUCAUUGGACCACACACAUCAGUAUGUAUUAUUUCCAAUAAGUCGGUUGCUCUCUCCAUUAUUCCUGAGAAUGGAGUCUUAGUCAUCUUGCCCAUGAGGCACAGUUCGCAUGUGUAAAAUGAUUCAAAGUCAAGAGACUCUAAUAGUCCAUCAAUAUGGAGCUUCUUCAUGCGCUUAACGCCGAUAUGACCAAGGCGGCAGUGCCACAAGUAUGUGGGACUGUCAUUAUCAACUUUACAUCUUUUGGUACUCACACUAUGAAUAUGUGUAACAUCACGAUCGAGAUUCAUCAAGAAUAAACCAUUCANNNNNNNNNNNNNNNNNNNNNNNNNNNNNNNNNNNNNNNNNNNNNNNNNNNNNNNNNNNNNNNNNNNNNNNNNNNNNNNNNNNNNNNNNNNNNNNNNNNNAGGUUGACUCGACGAGCUUAGCAUGUACAGACAUGACCUCGAAUACAAGAGACCGAAAGGUCGAACAUGAGUCGUAUGGUUGAAUACGAUCAGCAUGAAGUUGCUCACCAUGGUGACUAGUCCGUCUCACGUGAUGAUCGGACACGGGUUAGUCAACAUGGAUCAUGUAUCACUUAGAUGACUAGAGGGAUGUCGAUUUAAGUGGGAGUUCAUACUUAAUUUGAUUAAAUGAAAUUAAUUGUCAUGAACUUAGUCUAAAAGUUGUCUUUAUAAAUAUUGUAGAUGUCCAACGUCAACCUCAAUUUCAACGCAUUCCUAGAGAAAAACAAGCUGAAAGAUGAUGGUAGCAACUAUGCGGACUGGGUUUGCAACUUGAAGCUCAUCCUCGAAGCAGCUAAAAAGGCUUAUGUCCUUAAUGCGCCGCUAGGUGACCCUCCCGCUCCCGCAGCAGCCCAGGACAUUCUGAACGUCUGGCAAACGCGGAGUGAUGACUACUCUCUGGUCAGGUGUGGCAUGUUAUACAGUUUAGAAACGGGGCUCCAAAGGCGUUUUGAGCAACAUGGGGCAUAUGAGAUGUUCCAGGAGCUACAGCUAGUUUUUCAAGCUCAUGCCCGUGUCGAGAGAUAUGAAGUCUCCGACAAGUUCUUCAGCUGUAAGAUGGAGGAGAACAGUUCUGUCAGUGAGCACAUACUCAAAAUGUCUGGGUUACACGGUCGUCUGACUUCACUUGGAGUCGAACUUCCGGAUGAUGCUAUUAUUGACAGAAUCCUCCAGUCUCUCCCACCAAGCUACAAAGGCUUUGUGCUUAACUACAAUAUGCAAGGGAUGGAGAAGACCAUUCCCGAGUUGUACUCGCUGCUCAACUCUGCAGAAGUAGAAAUCAAGAAAGAGCAUCAAGUCUUGAUGGUCAACAAGACCACUAGUUUCAAGAAAGGCAAGGGUAAGAAGAACUUCAAGAAAGACGGCCAAGCUGUUGCCGCGCCCGGUAAGCCAGAUGCCGGGAAGAAGAAAAAGAACGGACCCAAGCCUGAGACUGAGUGCUUCUAUUGCAAGGGAAAGGGUCACUNNNNNNNNNNNNNNNNNNNNNNNNNNNNNNNNNNNNNNNNNNNNNNNNNNNNNNNNNNNNNNNNNNNNNNNNNNNNNNNNNNNNNNNNNNNNNNNNNNNNUCUCUCCUACUCUAGUCGGAUUGGAUUUGAUGAAAAGGGUCCUUAUGAAGGGUAAAUAGCUUUGGCAUAUAAUCGUUGUGGCUGUCACGUAGGUAAGAAGGCGUUCUUGCUAGAAACCCAAAUCAGCCACGUAAAACUUGCAACAACAAUUAGAGGACGUCUAACUUGUUUUUGCAGGGUUUGACAUGUGAUGUGAUAUGGCCAAAGUUGUGAUGUUGCAUGUAUAAUGUAUGAGAUGAUCAUGUUAUUGUAAUAGGUUUCACGACUUGCAUGUCGAUGAGUAUGACAACCGGCAGGAGCCAUAGGAGUUGUCUUAAUUUAUUGUAUGAGAUGCAACGCCAUGUGCUUACUACUUUUACUUCAUUGCUAACAGUUAGCUAUAGUAGUAGUGAUAGUAGUAGUUGGCGUGACGACAUCACAGAGACACGAUGAUGGAGAUCAUGAUGAUGGAGAUCAUGGUGUCACGCUGGUGACGAUGAUGAUCAUGCGAUGCCUGAAGAUGGAGAUCGAAAGAGCAAAGAUGAUAAUGGCCAUAUCAUGUCACUAUAUGAUUGCAUUGUGAUGUUUAUCAUGUUUUACAUCUUAUUGCUUAAAACGACGGUAGCAUAAUAAGAUGAUCCCUCUUAAAAUUUCAAGAACGUAUUCCCCUAAGUGUGCACCGUUGCGAAGGUUCAUUGUCUCGAAGCACCACGUGAUGAUCGGGUGUGAUAGAUUCUAACAUUCGCAUACAACCGGUGUAAGCCAGAUUUACACACGCGAAACACCUAGGUUGACUCGACGAGCUUAGCAUGUACAGACAUGACCUCGAAUACAAGAGACCGAAAGGUCGAACAUGACUCGUAUGGUUGAAUACGAUCAGCAUGCAGUUGCUCACCAUGGUGACUAGUCCGUCUCACGUGAUGAUCGGACACGGGUUAGUCAACAUGGAUCAUGUAUCACUUAGAUGACUAGAGGGAUGUCGAUUUAAGUGGGAGUUCAUACUUAAUUUGAUUAAAUGAAAUUAAUUGUCAUGAACUUAGUCUAAAAGUUGUCUUUAUAAAUAUUGUAGAUGUCCAACGUCAACCUCAAUUUCAACGCAUUCCUAGAGAAAAACAAGCUGAAAGAUGAUGGUAGCAACUAUGCGGACUGGGUUNNNNNNNNNNNNNNNNNNNNNNNNNNNNNNNNNNNNNNNNNNNNNNNNNNNNNNNNNNNNNNNNNNNNNNNNNNNNNNNNNNNNNNNNNNNNNNNNNNNNAAUACCCAGGAGCUACUACGAGCGCUGGUAAGGUACACAUCAAUAACAUGUAUAUCACAUAUACCUUUAACGUUGCCGGCCUUCUUGUCCGCUAAGUAUUUGGGGCAGUUCCGCUUCCAGUGACCCUUUCCCUUGCAAUAGAAGCACUCAGUCUCAGGCUUGGGUCCGUUCUUUUUCUUCUUCCCGGCAUCUGGCUUACCGGGCGCGGCAACAGCUUGGCCGUCUUUCUUGAAGUUCUUCUUACCCUUGCCUUUCUUGAAACUAGUGGUCUUGUUGACCAUCAAAACUUGAUGCUCUUUCUUGAUUUCUACUUCUGCAGAAUUGAGCACCGAGUACAACUCGGGAAUGGUCUUCUCCAUCCCUUGCAUGUUGUAGUUAAGCACAAAGCCUUUGUAGCUUGGUGGGAGAGACUGGAGGAUUCUGUCAAUUAUAGCAUCAUCCGGAAGUUCGACUCCAAGUGAAGUCAGACGACCGUGUAACCCAGACAUUUUGAGUAUGUGCUCACUGACAGAACUGUUCUCUUCCAUCUUACAGCUAAAGAACUUGUCGGAGACUUCAUAUCUCUCGGCACGGGCAUGAGCUUGAAAAACUAGCUUCAUCUCCUGGAACAUCUCAUAUGCCUCAUGUUGCUCAAAACGCCUUUGGAGCCCCGUUUCUAAACUGUAUAACAUGCUACACCUAACCAGAGAGUAGUCAUCACUCCGCGUUUUCCAGACGUUCAGAAUGUCCUGGGCUGCUGCGGGAGCGGGAGGGUCACCUAGCGGCGCAUCAAGGACAUAAGCCUUUUUAGCUGCUUCAAGGACGAGCUUCAAGUUGCGAACCCAGUCCGCAUAGUUGCUACCAUCAUCUUUCAGCUUGUUUUUCUCUAGGAAUGCGUUGAAAUUGAGGUUGACGUUGGACAUCUACAAUAUUUAUAAAGACAACUUUUAGACUAAGUUCAUGACAAUUAAGUUCAUUUAAUCAAAUUAAAUAUGAACUCCCACUUAAAUCGACAUCCCUCUAGUCAUCUAAGUGAUACAUGAUCCAUGUUGACUAACCCGUGUCCGAUCAUCACGUGAGACGGACUAGUCACCAUGGUGAGCAACUCCAUGCUGAUCGUAUUCAACCAUACGAAUCAUGUUCGACCUUUCGGUCUCUUGUAUUCGAGGUCAUGUCUGUACAUGCUAAGCUCGUCGAGUCAACCUNNNNNNNNNNNNNNNNNNNNNNNNNNNNNNNNNNNNNNNNNNNNNNNNNNNNNNNNNNNNNNNNNNNNNNNNNNNNNNNNNNNNNNNNNNNNNNNNNNNNGCGGAGACUGGCCAAGGACGAGGUGACGAUGCGCGUCGGGAAUGGUUCAAAGGUCGAUGUGAUCGCCGUCAGCACGCUGCCUCUACAUCUACCGUCGGGAUUAGUUUUAAACCUUAAUAAUUGUUAUUUAGUACCAGCUUUAAGCAUGAACAUUGUAUCAGGGUCUUGCUUAAUGCGAGACGGCUACUCAUUUAAGUCAGAGAAUAAUGGUUGUUCUAUUUAUAUGAGUGAUAUGUUUUAUGGUCAUGCUCCGCUGGUGAAUGGUUUAUUCUUGAUGAAUCUCGAUCGUGAUGUUACACAUAUUCAUAGUGUGAGUACCAAAAGAUGCAAAGUUGAUAAUGAUACUCCCACAUACUUGUGGCACUGCCGCCUUGGUCAUAUCGGCGUUAAGCGCAUGAAGAAGCUCCAUACUGAUGGACUAUUAGAGUCUCUUGACUUUGAAUCAUUUGACACAUGCGAACCGUGCCUCAUGGGCAAGAUGACUAAGACUCCAUUCUCAGGAAUAAUGGAGAGAGCAACCGACUUAUUGGAAAUAAUACAUAUUGAUGUGUGUGGUCCAAUGAACGUUGAAGCUCGCGGUGGUUAUCGUUAUGUUCUCACUCUCACCGAUGAUUUGAGUAGGUAUGGGUAUAUCUACUUGAUGAAGCACAAAUCUGAGACGUUUGAAAAGUUCAAGGAAUUUCAGAGUGAGGUUGAGAAUCAACGUGACAGAAAAAUUAAAUGUCUACGAUCUGAUCGUGGAGGAGAAUAUUUGAGUCACGAGUUUGGCACACACCUAAGGAAGUGUGGAAUCGUUUCACAACUGACGCCGCCUGGCACACCGCAGCGCAACGGAGUGUCUGAACGUCGUAAUCGCACUUUAUUAGAUAUGGUACGAUCUAUGAUGUCUCUCACCGACUUACCGCUAUCAUUUUGGGGAUACGCAUUAGAAACUGCAGCAUUCACUUUAAAUAGGGCACCGUCUAAAUCCGUUGAGACGACACCGUAUGAACUAUGGUUUGGCAAGAAACCUAAGUUGUCGUUUCUUAAAGUUUGGGGCUGCGAUGCUUAUGUGAAGAAACUUCAACUAGAAAAGCUCCAACCCAAAGAGGAGAAAUGCGUAUUCAUAGGAUACCCUAAGGAAACUAUUGGGUAUACCUUCUAUCUUAGAUCCGAAGGUAAAACCUUUGUUGCCAAGAACGGAUCCUUUCUAGAGAAAGAGUUUCUCUCGAAAGAAGUAAGUGGGAGGAAGGUAAAACUUGAUGAGGUAAUUGCACCCCCUCUCGAACAGGAAAGUAGCGCAGCGCGGGAAGUUGUUCCUGUGGCGCCUAUACCGAAUGAAGAGGAAGUUAAUGAUGAUGAUCAUGAAGCUUCGGAUCAAGUUACUACUGAACCGCGAAGGUCCACAAGGGCACGCUCCGCACCAGAGUGGUACGGCAACCCUGUGAUGGAAAUCAUGUUGUUAGACAAUGGUGAGCCUUCGAACUAUGAAGAAGCAAUGGCGGGCCCGGAUUCCAACAAAUGGCUUGAGGCUAUGAAAUCCGAGAUAGGAUCCAUGUAUGAGAACAAAGUAUGGACUUUGGUGGACUUGCCCGAUGACCGGCGAGCCAUAGAAAAUAAAUGGAUCUUCAAGAAGAAGACUGAUGCAAACGGUAAUGUAACCGUUUACAAAGCUCGACUUGUCGCAAAGGGUUUUCGACAAAUUCAAGGAGUUGACUACGAAGAGGCUUUCUCUCCCGUAGCGAAGCUGAAAUCAGUUCGAAUCAUGUUAGCAAUUGCCGCCUUUUAUGAUUAUGAAAUUUGGGAAAUGGACGUCAAAACAGCGUUCCUUAACGGGAACCUUAAGGAAGAGUUGUAUAUGAUGCAACCAGAAGGUUUUGUCGACCCUAAGGGUGCUAACAAAGUGUGCAAGCUCCAGCGCUCCAUCUAUGGGCUGGUGCAAGCAUCUCGGAGUUGGAACAUUCGCUUUAAUGAGGUAAUUAAAGCGUUUGGGUUCAUACAGGUUUACGGAGAAACCUGUCUGUACAAGAAAGUGAGUGGGAGCUCUGUAGCUUUCCUCAUACUAUAUGUGGAUGACAUAUUAUUGAUGGGGAAUAAUAUAGAGAUGUUGGAGAGCAUAAAGGCCUAUUUGAACAAGAGUUUUUCAAUGAAGGACCUUGGAGAAGCUGCAUACAUAUUAGGCAUCAAGAUCUAUAGAGAUAGAUCGAGACGCCUCAUAGGUCUUUCGUAAAGUACAUACCUUGACAAGAUAUUGAAGAAGUUCAAUAUGGAAAACUCAAAGAAAGGGUCAUUGCCAGUUUUGCAAGGUAUGAGAUUGAGUAAGACUCAGUCGCCGACCACGGCAGUAGAUAGAGAGAAGAUGAGUUAUGUCCCCUACGCUUCAGCCGUGGGCUCUCUAAUGUAUGCCAUGUUGUGUACCAGACCUGAUAUAAACCUUGCCAUAAGUUUGGUAGGGAGGUACCAAAGUAAUCCCGGUACGGAACACUCGACAGCGGUCAAGAAUAUCCUUAAGUACCUGAAAAGGACUAAGGAAAUAUUUCUCGUUUAUGGAGGUGACGAAGAGCUCGUCGUAAAGGGUUACGUCGACGCUAGCUUCGACAUAGAUCCGGAUGACUCUAAGUCACAGACCGGAUACGUAUAUGUGUUGAAUGGUGGGGCAGUGAGCUGGUGCAACAGCAAGCAAGAAGUCGUGGCAGCAUCUACAUGUGAAGCGGAGUACAUAGCUGCUUCAGAAGCGGCUCAUGAAGGAAUUUGGAUGAAGGAGCUCAUCACUGACCUUGGAGUGGUUCCAAGCGCGUCGGGUCCCAUGACACUCUUCUGUGAUAACACUGGAGCCAUUGCCAUAGCCAAGGAGCCCAGGUUUCACUGAAAGACGAAGCACAUCAAGCGCCGCUACAACUCCAUCCAGGACCAUGUCCAGAGUGGAGUGAUAGAUAUUUGUAAAGUACACACGGAUCUGAAUAUUGCAGACCCGUUGACUAAACCUCUUCCACGAGCAAAACAUGAUCAACACCAUAAUGCUAUGGGUGUUCGAUACAUCACAAUGUAACUAGAUUAUUGACUCUAGUGCAAGUGGGAGACUGUUGGAAAUAUGCCCUAGAGGCAAUAAUAAAAUGGUUAUUAUCAUAUUUCCUCGUUCAUGAUAAUCGUCUAUUGUUCAUGCUAUAAUUGUAUUAACAGGAAACAGUAAUACAUGUGUGAAUAAAUAGAUCACAAUGUGUCCCUAGGAAGCCUCUAGUUGGCUAGCUCGUUAGUCAAUAGAUGAUCAUGGUUUCCUGAUCAUGGGCAUUAGAUGUCAUUGAUAACGGGAUCACAUCAGUGGGAGAAUGAUGUGAUGGACAAGACCCAAUCCUAAGCCUAGCACUAGAUCGUAUUGUUCGUAUGCUAAUGCUUUUCUAAUGUCAAGUAUCUUUUCCUUCGACCGUGAGAUUGUGCAACUCCCAGAUGCCGUAGGAGUGCUUUGGGUGUAUCAAACGUCACAACGUAACUGGGUGACUAUAAAGGUGCACUACGGGUAGGGGGGGGGGGGGGGGUUGGGUUGGUACGAAUCGAGAUCGGGAUUUGUCACUCCGUGUGACGGAGAGGUAUCUCUGGGCCCACUCGGUAGAACAUCAUCAUGAGCUCAAUGUGACUAAGGAGUUAGUCACACGAUGAUGUGCUACGGAACGAGUAAAGAGACUUACCGGUAACGAGAUUGAACAAGGUAUAGGUAUACCGACGAUCGAAUCUCGGGCAAGUUCUAUACCGACAGACANNNNNNNNNNNNNNNNNNNNNNNNNNNNNNNNNNNNNNNNNNNNNNNNNNNNNNNNNNNNNNNNNNNNNNNNNNNNNNNNNNNNNNNNNNNNNNNNNNNNGGGGGGGGGGGAGGGUGUUAGAUUUGUAUUGCCCCUUUUUUGUAUAUCCCCAUUAUAUAAGGGGUUUCUACCACUUUUACCAUAUGUAUAUAUAUUGGCCUUUGGCCCCUGUGAAUAUUUGCUCAUUAUCUAACAGAUCCAACACAAGGUUGGGUCGAAGCUAGUUUAUAUCUGGGACGUUACACCAACCUCUCAAGCCAAUCCAACAUUGCAGACAGAUUUAUGAUACACUUCCUUUUCACGAGCCCGAGGCAAUGUACCUAUGUCAAAAAAAGUAGGAGUUCGAGGCAAUGUACCUAAUACAAACUGUGAAGCCUUCCCACCUAGGCUAUACAUGAGGUCCUUGAGAUGCUCUAUAAGAUAUCGGUUAAAAGAGAAAACGUCCAAAAUAAGAGAAAUAUAACUAUAUUUUUUUUGUAUUUGUCGCUUCAAAGGAUCAGUAUGUUGGACAAGAAGAGAAGCACUGAAGUAGCAUCACUCAUCAUCAAGGUCAAAAUCGUUGUCCGAUGCGCACUCGAGAUAUGAACCAAUCGACUUGCGGAAGAUGAUGAAAGACUUGUCAUCCUGUGAAAAAAGAAUGCAUUAUUUUGCAGGAAGAGGUGUUUCAAGCCAUGGAACAAAAAAAACUGGCUGGUCAUUCAGCUUUAGGCCUGACGGGUAGCUAAAAAUGAAGUCUAAGAAAUGCAAGCAGUUGUGAAUUUUGCCACACCUGCUUCAUCCUUUUCAGUGAUGGUUUGGCAUUUGUUAUCUUAUCUGAUAAGGUGUCACCAUGUUCUGACAAUGUAGCCGUCUCCUCCCCUGUUUGAAGGAUUUGAGUGUAAGAGCAGCAUAUUUCCAUCCAAGGGAAAUAAUGAAUCCUCUAGCUACUUACUUUGAUAUUCAUACUGCUCAAGCAGUUUCUUUUUCUCAACUUCAAUUUGUGAGGAUAGAUCUGCAUAAUAGGACAUGUAACAAGUCAAAUAAGAGCCAAAUAUUUUUGCAGAUUCAAUGAGAUCUGAACGUCUUUUAUGGGAACAUCAUCCAAAUAAUGCUGAGUCGCUAAUAAGCAGUAGCCAAGCAAUGCAUAUUUAGAAACAACACACAUAAUUUGAAUACAAGUGUCAUGUAGAUUCUAUUUGCAUCAAAACCAGGUAUCUCAAUAUUUUUUCUAAAGAUAAGAAUCACAGCUCAUACGUAGUAGCCGAUUACACCAAAUGAGAAACAACCAUCACACGUCACAAUGCCCUAAAAUCCUAGAUAGACCUGGAUAGAAGCACAUGAUAUACUUGUGAAAAUGACAACCAGCUCUUAUUUGACAUACCUUUGAAGGUUUGUAAGUGUGCAUCAUUUUCUUCGCAGAACAUUUCAUAUGUUUCCUGAAGCUUGGUGUACUCUUCGUUCAAUGAACUUUCACACUGCUAAUAGUGCAAAUUACACGCCAUAAUUCAAUCUUAGGCAAAUCAGCAAGUAAGUCGACAAUUCCAAAGAAUUGUAAACUGUGUACCUCUUUCGAAGUGCUUGACAGUACUUUCAGCAAAUUCUGCCUGCACAUGCAAAUAUAACAGUGACACUACGUUCUAAAUAAAAACGAACAAGCUUCCUUUUCUGACAGAACUGGUUUCAGGCGUAAUUGUUCAUGCAGGCAUCGUUUCACAGUUCACAAGCAAGUGAGUUACCUUUCCUUCUCAAACUUGGACUUGGUAUCUUCAAGCAUAGUCUGAAUAUUGGCUGCAACACUGUCAGGUUUAGAAAAGUAAAGGAAUAAACAGGGUAAGAAGAAGGUAAAAGAAUAAUGAUCAGCAACAUUAUGCGCUUCAAACUUCACAGUUCAGUCAGCGGAGUCCCUGUUAGUCCACAUGUUAUAAUUUUCGGCUUCUUUUCCUCCCCGAUGCCUGUGUAAAUAAUUCUUUGUAAUAGUUCUGAGAAGUUUAUAGAAAUGUUCAGGCUGGCUUUGCCGGCCGUAGUUCUGAAAAUCAACUCACCCGAACAAAGCCACACCAUGACAUAAGUACAAAACAUGAAUCCGGGAACCCAUCAAAUUAAUAUGUCCAUUUUCCUCGCAUCACUCACAAUGCAUAUCGCUCCGCAUAAUAUACAAAAACUGACAUAUCACCGAACGAACCUAGUUCCUGCAUUAAUCACAGAAACAGCCGAGUGGACGCAUUGCAGGAUUGCAAACGUGCAACAUUUAUUUGUAUCCCUCCCAGUGACCAUGAACUGUAAGUUUUCCACACAAAUCCGCCAGCACGAAAUGCAUCAUAAGAAGCUGCUAGGAUAGCAUACGCCGAUCCCAAUUUUUUUGCACGCUAGCACAUAGCGAGAUAAGAGAAAAUUUAGAGGUGCAAGUGCAACCGAAAGAACACUGUUCUCCGCACCUGGCGAUGAUCUGCUCGCACAUCUUCUGGCCAGCCUUGUUGGUCCCGCCCUUGAUCAACCGCAGCAGGCACGCGAUCUGCCUCAAGUCGCUGCGCCCGCCACAAAAGUAGCCAUCACGGAGUUAAAGCGAGAAGGAAUUAGAAACGGGAGACACCGAAUCGAAGAGGAAAAGCUCGAAAUCAGAUGUGCGGCACCUGACGAAAUCGCCGUCAGAUUCCGAGCCGGAGCUGGAGCCGGAAUCGGAACCGGAGCCGAAAUCCACGGGGUGGCGCGGCCUCUUCGACGACCGCAGAGCCUCUUCACCCAGGGACAUCCUCCUUCCGCCGCCGGGACUCGCCGCGGGCCGCAUCGCUGGUCGACGAGCGUAGUGCAGCGCAAUUCGAAAUUUGGAGGGGGAGCGAGAGGGUAGUGAUGUAAUACUGGCAAAAUUUUGGUGGCCCACUCACAGUAUUGGCUUUUGUAAGGGAAAGUGUUCGUGCGCGCAAGGCUACGAGCAACUAGUUCCUCCUCUUGUAAUUUUUUUUUCCUUCGACGCGUCCGUUGAAGUGUUCGGCCGGUCGCGUUCCUUCCUCACGUUUUUCUUCCACCUUUUCCUUUUCCCCUCCCGCGCACACUCGGAUUUUUUCACUGUUUUAACCUUUUUUCUAAANNNNNNCACAAAAUGAACCAGAUUUGAAACCAUUUCACGAUCUGACCCUUUUAAAAACGCCACAAGCCGUGGCGUUGCUNNNNNNNNNNNNNNNNNNNNNNNNNNNNNNNNNNNNNNNNNNNNNNNNNNNNNNNNNNNNNNNNNNNNNNNNNNNNNNNNNNNNNNNNNNNNNNNNNNNNUGGACAAGAAUACAUGGAGUUACUCAAGCCAUUGAAUCAUUUGACUUUGUUUUCAAUCUUCACUUGAUGCUUGUUAUUCUUGGCUAUACAAAUGAGUUGUCCAAAUCUUUGCAAAAGAGAGAUCAAGAUACUAUUAAUGCAGUGGCACUUGUUAGUUUGGCAAAGAGUAGAAUGCGACACAUGAGGUGUCAUGGUUAGGAAGAAUUUCUUGCAAAGCUAACCCUAUUUUGCCAGAAACAUGACAUUCAAGUUCCUUUGUGGGAGGAUACUUAUGCAGGGGCAGAAUUAGCAUGGGUUCACGUCUAGGGCCAAAUUAGCUUCAGUGGUGUAUUUUAGAGAUUUUUUGUACUUAGUAAGUAGGUAUUACAAAGACUAUUGUCACUACACCUAGGGCUAUAGCCCCAUUUUCCCUAGGCCUGAUUCCAACAUUGUACUUAUGAGCAUCAUGGAAUAUCACGUUGGUAUAAUGAAGUUCAAACAAAUGAUGAUCGUUAUAAAAGAGAAGUAUAUCUUGGUGUCAUUGAUCAAACCAUUCUAUCCCAUGGACAUAUCAAGCACGGAUUUGAUAAGGCUAGAAUUUCAACUUGCUACUUUUAUUGAUGAUACGAGACAAGAUGAUAUUGGUGAGCUCUCUAUUUUACUUGUUGCAACAAAGAAUCAUAUUCUCUAUGAUUUGGUCUACUUACUCAUCAAAUUGAUAUUGAUUUUACCGAUGGCAACAACGAGUGUUGAAAGGGUAUUUUCUGCAAUGAAUCUAGUGAAAAAUAAAUUAAGGACUAGUAUGGGUGAUGAUCGUUUGGUGACAAUUAUUAAGCGAGAUGUGUUCAUGAAAGUAAAUGAAGAUGACAUAGUUGAUGCUUUCAUGACAAUGCAACGACGUAGAGUUACCUAGUGUUGUAAUUUUCUACUUCUGUUACUUUCAUGUAAGUCUUUUCUAUUGUAACUGGGCACAUUUGAAAUACAUUUUAUGUACUAAAUGGUUGUGAGAUUUCAAUUGAGCUAUUUAUGUUACUCAUUUGACAUAUUUUGAUACAUUUGGAUUAGGUAGGAAAAAAAUAGAGUGCGCAUGCCCUUUAUUUUAUUCCUGGGUACCCACACAAUGGAACGCAAAAAUAUCCAGCCGAGCGAGCAGUAAAUCCACCAUACGGGAUGUGCAUACUUAAUACUCCUACAUUGCAACAAAUAAUCGUGAAAAAAAAUGGAAAAAGAAACCAUAUGCGAUCAGGCACAUGACGAAGGAAGGGUCACAUGAAUGAAGAAGAGAGAAAAGCCACAUAUCGACCCGAAUAGCGAAGUGUGGGAGCCGCGAUGGCGGGCACUGGCAGCCAUACAUUGGGCUAUCCAAAAUCUCAUCUCUCGCCCAAUCCCGGCCUCACGAUCUCAAUUCUCACCCCGCGUGCACCACAAGCUCCAAUCCCCUAACUCGUAUAUACAGCCACGCCCGCCUCACCGUCCUUGAUCUUCCCCCCUAUCUGAUCGGAUCCUUUGGACAUGGCGUCGCCCAUGCUCUCCACGGCCAUGGCGCCACUCCAGGUAUUGCUCGUGUUCCAUUUCCAUUCCAUGCUUGCGUAGUAGUACAGUUCUUCCAUGUUUGUGACGCGCGGUGGUUAUGUAACUGGACUGCCAUGCAUCCUCUGUCGAUCCAGGGGGGCAUGCUGGAGUUCUCCGGGCUGAGGAGCUCGUCGUCGCUGCCGCUCCGGCGGAAUGCCACCUCCGACGACUUCAUGUCCGCCGUCUCCUUCAGGACAUACGCGGUAUGAUAUGAAUAUGAUGGGCGGAAUGUGGCUGUCACCUAGGAGUACGUAGCUCGCUUGGUCGCAUGCCAUGAGACAUGAGCGGCGCGUGGUACGGUGGUUGCAGGUGAGCACGAGCGGCGGGUCGCGGAAGGCGCCGACGGAGGCGAAGCUCAAGGUGGCGAUCAACGGGUUCGGGCGCAUCGGGCGCAACUUCCUGCGGUGCUGGCACGGGCGCGGCGACAGCUCGCCGCUGGAGGUGAUCGCCAUCAACGACACCGGAGGCGUGAAGCAGGCGUCCCACCUCCUCAAGUACGACUCCACGCUGGGCAUCUUCGACGCGGACGUCAAGCCCGUGGGCGACAACGCCAUCUCCGUCGACGGCAAGGUGAUCAAGGUCGUGUCCGACCGCAACCCCUCCAACCUGCCGUGGGGCGAGAUGGGCAUCGACCUCGUCAUCGAGGGCACCGGCGUCUUCGUCGACCGCGCCGGCGCGGGCAAGCAUCUCGAGGCCGGAGCCAAGAAGGUGCUCAUCACCGCGCCCGGCAAGGGCGACAUCCCCACCUACGUCUGCGGCGUCAACGCCGACCUCUACACCCACGCCGACACCAUCAUCAGCAACGCCUCAUGCACCACCAACUGCCUCGCCCCCUUCGUCAAGGUCCUCGACCAAAAGUUCGGUACGUGCCCGUCUCCCUCCCUCUCUCUCUCUCUCAACUGAAUCAACUUGUUGACGAUGACUAAUGGCGGCGGUGGCAAUGGCGCAGGCAUCAUCAAGGGAACCAUGACCACAACCCACUCGUACACCGGCGACCAGAGGCUGCUCGACGCGAGCCACCGCGACCUGCGCCGUGCCCGCGCCGCCGCCCUCAACAUAGUGCCGACCUCCACCGGCGCGGCCAAGGCCGUGGCGCUGGUGCUCCCCAACCUCAAGGGCAAGCUCAACGGGAUCGCGCUCCGGGUGCCCACCCCCAACGUGUCCGUCGUCGACCUCGUGGUGCAGGUCUCCAAGAAGACCCUCGCCGAGGAGGUGAACCAGGCGUUCCGCGACGCCGCCGCCAACGAGCUCAAGGGCAUCCUCGACGUCUGCGACGAGCCCCUCGUGUCCGUCGACUUCAGGUGCUCCGACGUCUCCUCCACCAUCGACGCGUCGCUCAGCAUGGUCAUGGGAGACGACAUGGUCAAGGUCAUUGCAUGGUACGACAACGAGUGGGGUUACUCCCAGAGGGUCGUCGACCUCGCCGACAUCGUCGCCAACCAAUGGAAGUGAACGCCCCCCCACAGCGGCAUUGCCCUGUCAAGUGACUCCUCUCGAAAUUUUCCCCAGCCGUCGUCACGGAUGAUCGAUUCUUUGUAAUGAGAAUUCAAAGUAUCGAGCUCCCAACAC
rnacentral:lncRNA from 1 species